UGGUAUAACAUAUUAUUCAAACCUCCACAGUCGGUCAUAUGUCGGAAGUAGGUAUGAAUCAAGACUGUCAUGAUGGGUUGUAGAGGUCUAAGGUGUUGGACAAGGCUACAACAAUCAUGAGUGCUCAUAAGUUCUGAGCAUUGGACUCAACCCACGCUCACUGGAAUCACUUCAUGGAAUUCUAUCUCGAGUGAUCGUGAGACGGUAAUAUCAUAUAAGUCUUCAAACCUAGAGAUAUGAUUUGUUACUUACAAGUUGGUUAUGCAUUGACUGUACGAAACCGCAUUGGUAACUCGAUGUUAUAAAACGUACUUUUGUGUGUAAUUCAAUGAGUGGUAGAACAAACAUAUGAGUCGAAGUUUAUCUGUUCCUUCUUGGAUUAGAAGCUGAUAUCUGGGCCCCUCGAUGAUUUUGUUUUGACCCAUGUACCGGGCCCGGUCAGAACUAAGUUGAUGUGUUCAAUUAAGUUCUAUGUCAAACAAAUCGGAAAUCGAGAAACAAAUGCUGGACAAGAAGUAAGACAAUGUUCCAUGUAUUUGUCCGGCUGAUAUCUAGAACGGAGGAUUAUAUGAUCACUUAUCUUAAAUGGCGUACUAUCAUCUUCUCAGUUCCGAGAGACCUUGAAAGAGCUACGAUUGCCGGUCGGUUCCUGAAGUACUAGAGAUAUAGUUAUUAGACUUAUCCAAGUGGGAGACUGUUGGAUAAGGUGUCUAAGUCCAUAACUAUUUCGGGCUUGUACUUGACCCGACCCGGCAUGGUCCAUUUGGGUUGCAUGGCACCAUGCAAUUGGAUAGACUAAAUGAGAGAAAUAACACUUGGAGAUUAUUAAUAUAUUAUAAGUUCUAAUAUAUUAAUAAUAUUAUUUGAUUAGUUGAUCAAAGAAUUAAUUUGGAAUUAAUUAAGUGAUCAAAGGAUAACUAAUUAAAUAUAUGGGUUGAUUAUGUAAAUCAUCCAUAUCUUGUAUAGUGGGCUAAGAGGCUCCAUGGAUUAUCAAGUUGGGCUCUACCCAUAGGAUACUCCAUGGAUGCUCCAUGGGAGUUACAAACCCAUGGGUCAUGGAAAUGAAGAGUCAUGACACAUUAGGGUUUACAUGGUGUAACCCUAGAUGUGUCAACACUAUAUAAGAAGCAUAUUCUCCACCAAAAAUCGGCACUACUAAGGAACUAGAGGGCUUGGCCGAUUUUUGAGAAGUGUGUGUUAUCUCAAGAGUCUUUCCAAGAGCAUUUGGUGUUGUGUGAAGCAUUAGAGGCAUCACACUUGGGGUGCUAGGCUCACAAGGUUUCAAGGAACACAAGCAACAACAAGGUAAGUUAUUCUAUCUAUGAUUCAAGUUAAAAUUGUUCCCCAUGUAUGCUAGAUAGGAAUAUAACCUUGGAAUUAAACUUUGCAUGAUAAUUAGACAAACAUAGAUCCAAGGUUAUUAGGGUUGCAUGUACACUUAGGAAGUGUUAGAAUGCUCAAAACCCUUCAGUCAUAGCAUACAUGCUUGAGCCUACUACGGAAACAUAAGGUACUCGACUCAUUUCUGCUAUCUCAGCCUCGGUACUCAGGCUCUGAGUCUUCUCAAUCUGGCAUUACUUUGGAUGGGUAACUCUCCUUUCUUGGAAUCUUGCAUGUUGAACCUCUUCAGCACCCUAUCCACGUAGGUACUCUGACUAAGUCCAAUUAGUCUUUUACUCUGGUCUCACAGAAUCCUUAUCCCUAGAAUAUAGGCAGCUUCUCCUAGGUCUUACAUAGCGAAACACUUCCCAAGCCAGGACUUCACUUCCUGCAAGGUCGAGAUGUCAUUUCCUAUGAAUAGUAUGUCAUCCACAUACAACACGAAAAAGCUAACUAUACUCCCACUAGCCUUGACAUAUACACAAUAUUUAUCUUCACUCAUCGAAAAGCCAAACUCUUUGAAUUUCUCAUCGAAACAAAGAUUCCAUCUGCGAGGUGCUUGUUUCAAUCCAUAGAUAGAUUUCUCAAGCUUACACACUCUAUUAGGGUAUUAUGUACUGAUAAAACCCUUUGGCUCACACAUGUAAACAUCUUCAGCCAAACUUCCAUUAAGGAAGGCGGUUUUGACAUCCAUUUGCCAUAUUUUAUAAUCAUGAAAUGAAGCAAUGGCUAACAGGACCCUAAUGGACUUAAUCUUUGCUACUGGUGAAAAUGUCUCAUUAUAAUCAACUCCCAGAGUUUGAGAAAAGCCCUAUGCAACCAGUCGCGCCUUAUAUGUGUGUACAUUACUAUCCAUGUCUGUCUUCUUCUUGAAGAUUCAUUUGCACCCUACUGUCUUACGACCUGGUACAUUGUCAACCAAGUUCCAAACUUGAUUGUCAUACAUGGAUUGUAUCUCGCUGUCCAAUGCCUCUUUCCAUUUAGCAGAAUUUGGCCUGCUAUGGAUUUAACAUUGUUGUUUGGUUCAUCCAGACUUACCAGUGUCUCAUCACUGAUAAGUGUCUCACCUUCCGCAGUAAUAUGGAAACCAUAGUAGUGCUCAGGUGCAUUCCUAACCCUCGUGGAACGCCUUAAAGGUACAAACUCGUCAAUUGGAUCAAUAGGAAUUUCCUCCUCAUGUUGAGUGCUAGGGUUUAAAGUUUCUUCACCACUUGACUCUUGAAUUUCUUCAAGUUCAACUUGCCUCUCACUGUUUCCUUAGCUUAUAAACUCUCUUUCUCGAAAGAAAUCCCUCCUAGCUACAAAGACCACAUUCUCACUAGGUCUAUAGAAGAGGUAACCAAAGGAUUUCUGUGGGUAGCCGAUGAAAAUACACCUCUCACUUCGAGGUUCGAUCUUAUCAUGAGUCUCACGUCUCACGAAAGCCUCGCAUCCCCAAAUCUUGAUGUGGUCUAGUUUGGGUACUUUUCCAGUCCACAUCUCAUGAGGAGUUUUGACAACUUUCUUUGUAGGGACUAGAUUAAGGAUAUGGGCGGCAGUCUCUAAGGCAUACCCCCAAAAUGAGAUUGGUAGCGAAGCUCGACUCAUCAUGGAACGAACCAUAUCCAACAAGGUUCGAUAACGCCUCUCAGCUACACCUUUCAACUGGGGUGUCCUGGGAGGUGUUAAUUGUGAGACAAUCCCACAUUCCCUAAGAUAGUCGAGGAACUUUGAACUAAGAUACUCACUACCUCGAUCGGAUCGAAACAUCGUAAUGUUCCUGCCCAAUUGAUUCUCGACUUCUUAUUUAAAUUCUUUAAGCCUUUCAAAAGUCUCUGACUUAUGCUUGAUUAAGUAGACAUAUCCAUAUCUACUGUAAUCAUUAGUAAAAGUCAAAUAAUAACGAUUACCAUCCCUUGUGGCAUGUUUGAAGGGUCGAUGCACAUCUGUGUGCACUAGAUCCAACAAAUCUUCACCCUUUGCACACGAACCAAUAAAGGGUGACUUUGUCAUUUUCCAAGUAAGCAUGAUUCACAACUAUCAUAUAACUUUAGGUCAAAUGACUCCAAGACUCCAUCCUUUUGGAGUUGUCCUAUGGGUUUCUUGCUUACAUGUCCAAGAUGACAAUGCCAUAAUGAUGCUUUAUCCAAGUUAUUAUUAUUAGAAGAAUCAAUACACAACACAUUAUUUCCUAGGUUAUCUACAACAGACACAAAUUCAUACACACCAUCACAAGGUAAUGCUUUAAAAUAAAGAACAUUAUUAAAGAAAACAUUUAUUCACCAAUUUCAUUAUCAAAAGAAAAGGUAAGCCCUUGUUUGUACAAAGCAUGAAACGGAAUAGUAUUUCUUGCGAUUUCAAGCGAGUAACAACAUUUUAUUCAAAUCUAAUGUAAACCCACUACUUAGCAACAAAGAAUAAACUCCAAUCUUGUUGACAGGUGAAGCCUUCUGAUUCCCUAUGAUCAAGUUUAUCUUUCCAUGCUCCACAUUCUCACUUCUUCUUAGUCCCUACAAAUUAGAACAUAUCUGAAUUCCACAUCCUGUAUCAAGGACCCAAGAGUUAGAAUAGGGUGAGUUAUUAGACAAUAUUGUGUAAAUACCUGCAUGGGUGGGUUUCACUUUCCCAUCCUUAAUAUCUUGCUGUUACUUUGGGCAGUUCCGCUUCCAAUACGACUUUUCAUGGAAAUAGAAGCAUUCGGCCUCUUUUGGAUCAGAAGAAGGAGUGACGAAACCUUUCUUUGUUCCACUUGAAGAGGAGCCAUGAAGGGUCUUACCCUUGGUACCCUUCAAAAGGUUCUUCCUCUUUUUCCCUCUACCUUUCCCGAUUGCCAGAACAGGGGCGGAGUUUGGAGUAGGAGUAGGAGUAGUAACAACGAACUUACCUUUAAGACCUGUUUCUGCGGUCUUUAGGAGUUCUUGAAGCUUGCUAAGGGUAACUACCUCCUUGUUCAGGUGGUAUGUCAUGCGGGAUUGAUCAUAACACGAUGGUAAGGAGUGCAAAAUGAUAUCUAUUGCUAGCUCCUCGGGGAAGUUUACAUUCAGUUUCAACAAAAGGUCCAUAUACCUUUUUAUUUUCUGCAUGUGGCCCGUGAUGGGUUCACCAUCCUUCAUCCGGGUUGUUAUCAUAGAGGAGAUGAUUUCAUAUCGCUCUUGACGAGCACUCUGAUGGUAGCGGCCCGUCAAAUCCAGGUGCAUCUCAAAAGGAUAGUAGUCCUCAUGGGACUUUUGGAGCUCGACUGUCAUAGUGGCUAACAUGAUGCAUGUCACUUUGGUAUCAUCUAUUUCAUGUGCCUCAUAUUCAACGACCUCCUCAGGAGAGCCAGAUAGCUCGGGUACCUUAAGCUCCUUGUCGAGGAUAUAUUCCUUGUCCUUAUACCGAGUGACCAUCCUGAUGUUUUUGAUCCAAUCCAUAAAGUUGGCUCCAUCAAAGAUGACUCUCCCAUAAAGGUUCAUGAGAGAGAAAGAGCCGGUAGGGUUAGAGCCAAAAGCAACAUUGUUGGAAUACAUCUGAAAAAGAAGAGAACAAGUUUAGAUUAAAUAUAAAGAUAGUCUUUAAUAAAACACCCAAAUGUAAUAUUAAGGAUAGGAUCCACUCACAAUAUAUUAUAACUUAGAAGAGGGAUCUCGUAACCUAAACUAUAACAUAUUUGAAAGCUAGGUGAAUGACGAUUCACCAAUUUCCACCAUGAUAAACGAAAUAUAAAUUAUUAGGUUUUAAUUGGUUUUUAGAAACUCCUAGAUUCCUUUGAGAUUCAUUGAACUUUUCAACGACAUGUUUCAAUCUCGAGUGUGUCCUUCAUGUUUUGUGACUGGGAUGCCGAGGAUCACAAAACAAGGUGUGAAGUAACCAUGCAAAUUACUUGGUACCCUUAAUGUUUUUCACUCAAUCGAUGUGCCGGUUAACCACAGGUGCUCCACCGACCUAUGAAAAACUUUAAGUCACCCUUUGCCUACCUUGUUAACUCCAAGUUAAUGUGAUGGUUAACCACACACGCUCCACUAACGACUUAAUCAAAGUGCAAUGUGUAAUUUCAUAAGUUAGCACCUUAUUCACAUUUUCCUAAAGUAACUAAGAUUGUGUAACAUCCUGUUUUGGAUCGUCUGUGAUCAGAGUUCGUGGGCUGCAAACCGGGCGGGAGGAAGCCUCGAGGUUGCGACGAGUUGCUAGAAGCGUAGGGCAUCUCGUCACCUUUCCGUAGGUAUGAGGACCUUUGGAAUCAGGCGUUCCACCAACCUACGAAAAACCAUAAGUCACCCUUUGCCUACCUUGUUAAGUCAAAGUUAGUGUUUUGGUUAACCACACACGCUCCACUAACGACUUAAUCAAAGUGCAAAAUGUAAUUUCAUGGGUUAGCACCUUAUUCAAAUUUUCCUAAAGUAACUAAGAUUGUGUAACAUCCUGUUCUAGAUCGUCUGUGAUAAGAGUUCGUGGGCUGCAAACCAGGCAGGAGGAAGCCAUGGGGUUGCGAUGAGUUGCUAGAAGUGUAGGGCAUCUUGUCAUUUGUAACGCCCGUAGAUCCGGGCUAGUCAAUUUAGAGGCAAUAAGUGUCGAAAACCACUUUUCGGCAAAAGAUUAUUUAGAAUAAAUAAUCUUAACCAAGUUGUAGUAUAUGUUACAAGGUUUCCGUACAUAUAAAGAACGCCAAAAUCCGAGUUAUAACGAAGAAGUUAUGACCCGUCGAAGUUUUACGGAAAAACCGGCACGACACCAGGAAGCGUAAAUAGUAAACUUAUGAUGGAGUGAAUUUUAGCCUUAUAAAUCUAAACCAAAGUUGUAGUAUACAUUAAACCGAGAACAUCCAUAAAAAGAACGCCCAAAUCUGACUUUGUAUGAGGAAGUUAUGAUUUUUUUAAUAUUCGGUUUAGCAGUGCACGACCCGAAACUCGAAUUUUAGGUCGAGCGGUUUUUGGCUUAUGUGACCUAAAUGAGAGUUGAAGAUCUCAUUAAUAGGAACUCAAAGGUAAACAGAUAGACGAAAACGGAGUCCGUAUGAAGGAGUUACAAAUUCUUCGCGAUCAUUCAACCGUCUAAACACCUCAUACUUUUAAAUUUAAGAUCGGUCGAGAAUUAGCCAACGGAGUCUAAAUGAAAGUUGUAGAUAUUGAUUUUACCUACGCGUGGAUAUAAAGAACGUCAAAAACGGAGCUCGUAUCCGAGAGUUAUGAUUUUUCUAAGUCAGGAGACUGAUACGCGAUAUUGGGUGACGUGGCGCGAUCACAACCAUUGCUUUUCCUCCAAGGAAAGCCAUCAGAUGAUGACACGUGGCACUGACUCGGUGAGUCAGUGAACCGACUCGGUGAGUCCGUUAGGAAUACACCCUUUAAAUAAGAGUGUCGGGUUUCUCCAUAUCUCACACCUUCCAAACACUUCUUUCUCUCUCUAGUUUCUCUCUCUAAGCUCCCUAACCCCCCUAAAAGCCUAGGUAAACCCCCUAGCACCCGAAGGAAGCCCCGAGGCUCUCGGAGUCCCGAGAAAAUAGCCUUUCGGCUCGGGAAGGCUACUCCAACAAAGCUCGGUUUUUGCGAAAAACCUGCUGUAAGUGAGCUACGCUUACGCUAUUUUUAAUAUAGCUUCUAAUUAAUUAUAGUAACAUUAUUAGGACCUUAAAAUAAUUAUUUGGGCUAUUAUUAUGAGUUAUAUUGAGUGUUAUUUAACGCUUAUAUAAUAGUAAUAAUAGCUAGACUAUUAAUUAGUCGCGGUUAACGUUAGACUAAACUCUAGUGGUAAUGAUACUAGGUUUCGUCAAGGGAUAAUUAUUUUAUGUGUAACGAAGUGCUGUCCAAGUGCCGACUCACCACCUUAUCAAGUGAGUGCAUAGUCCCUUUCAUCUUACACAUAGAUAUGAAGUAUUUUAAUAUAAAUUAUGUGCUAUGUGUGCAUAUUGUCUAAAUACUUGGUGUCUAUGCUGGGUGAAAGAUUUUUAUACAUGUUUUAAAUGAUUUAAACUGUAUAUGUAUGUUAUAUCUACAAAAUGUGUUAGGUAAAACAUGGGUAGAUGAAAUAGUUGUUGUGUUAUAACACGAUGAAAGACAUCAAUGUUGAUAGUGAUCCAGUCAUCUAGUGGAGUAUAGAUGACGACCAUGGACGAUACUAGACAGUCCAGUUGAACAGUAGCAGGCUCGUAACCUGUAGGUCUUUUUGGACUAGGUGAUCAUUAGGUAUUUUUGAACUGAGUGUGUUCACUAGGUAUUUUGAACUGAGUGUGUUCAGUAGGUAUUUUUGAACUGAGUGUGUUCACUAGGUAUUUUGAACUAAGUGUGUUCACUAGUUACUUUUGAACUAAGUGUUUACCAGAUGUCUUGGACUAUGUGUUCACUAGUUACUUUUGAACUAAGUGUUUACCAGAUGUCUUGGACUACGUGUUCACCAGUUGUAAUCUAUAAGCCUUAGUAACGCUGGACUUCAUGCCGAUUCCUUAGGAUGAUCCUUAGGAAUGAAUAGACGAGGAAUAGCUGAUUCUUAGGGUAGAUCCUUAAGACUAAAGAAGAUAAUGGGGAUGGGUAAUUAGGUUGAUUGUUUGAUUGUUUAAACAUAAUAAUUAUAUUAUUGUGGGUUGAAAACCCUAUGUACUCACCAGGUUUACCAACCUGACCUACUCAGUUUAUUUAUAUCACAUGUGUUGAUAUGAAGUCACAUUACACUGAGAUAUUAAGGAGAUAUAGAUCACUAGUGAUAAUGAAUGUAAGUUAUGUUUAUGCUUAUGUUUUUGUAUUGACGAUGACAUCCCAAAUGUUUUAAAUGAAUAAAAAUACAUUUCUUUAGAAAUGCUUUGAUAACAUAUUUAUCAUGUUUUAUUGGGAAGAAAUUCAGCAACAUUUUUAUUAAAAGUACUUUGAUUUUUAUAAAGCAUAAACAAAAUCGGUCUUUUCUGGUCGUGAAAAAUGGGGAUGUCACAUCACAUUUCCGUAGGUAUGAGGACCUUUGGAAUCAAAGUUGUAUCAAAGAAACUAUGGAAGUUUGGCGAUUUGGCAAGAUAAGCCCCUAAGUUGAGAAAUGUGGUUGCGGAGUACGCUGGGCGUACGUAUGUGUACGCUUAGCGUACGAAUACGUGUGAUCCUUAAGAAAGAGCCACCUAGUAUGUUGAGCAUACCAGAGGGUACUCUGGGCGUACUAGGCACAGUGUGGAAACCCUAAUAUCUCAAGUAAAUCUAUAUAAGGAAUGAGAUGGCCUCAUUCCUGGCCACCUUUCUCAGAGAACAAACCCUCUAAAAUCCUAAACCUUUGUCCACAAGAGUUGGUGAGUGCAUGAGAUCCCUUGGUGUGACCUUGUGAGUCCUUGGAAGUGAAGAAGGUGUAACAUACUGAAUUCAGGUAUGCUAAUUUAAUUAUUUAUUUAUUGUUUUAUCGAGGAACUCGACUAGUUGAUGCCUCAACUCGUCGAGUAGAGUCUUAUCUAUUGGCGUAUUUUCACGAUCGGACUCGACGAGUUGGGACCCGGCUCACCGAUCGGUGCUAAUUAGGAAAAACCUAAUCCUCGGGUUUGGGAGCCUAUUUAAAGACCUUUAUGGCCUUCAUUUGCGGCCACCUUCAUUUGCGGCCACCUGGAGAGCUGAGAUAGUGAGUUUGAGGGCAAGAGGAGGCUAUUUCUUCAUCUUUUUGUGUGGUUUUGCUUGAAGGAAGAUAGGAGCAUAAAUCUAGAGUGUGAAGGGGACUGGAUCUGAGCUAAUCAUCUCAUGAUAUCAUCUUUGGAGGUAUAAUCUUUUCCAUUUUUGUGUUAUAUUGGUUGGACUUCUUGAUUUUAGGGUUUUUACCCUCAUUUUAUGAAAGAUCUAGUGAGUAUGAGGUCCUCUUUGGGAAUAUGACAUCAGAUCUGGACCAUGAGAGGUCCCUAGAGUCAUUACCUUCUAGCUUUUUGCAAGAAAAUAAGCAAUUGGAGACUAGGUUGCCAUUUCUAGUGUUAUUUCUCCAUUUGAGGCUUGUUUUGGGUUGCAUGCACGUAAAGGUUGCACCUUUACGUGACUUUUGAGUGUUUAAGGGUUAGGUCUAUGAUUUGGCUAAGCAGAUCUGACCUCAGGAGGUUGUAUGAGCAAGUCCAUGGAGGAAACUCGCCGAGUCCAUAUGUAGACUCGACGAGUCGGACCGGGUUGCCCUGGGGUCUGACUCCAGUGGUGACCCGGUGUGGUUAGGGGUGACUCAGUGAGUCGAGUGAGGCUUAGAAAGGGAAGAGUCUGUGGGGACGAUGGAACUCACCGAGUCGUCGUAUGCACUCGACGAGUCUGGUCUAAAUGGACAGUUGACUUUUGGGUUGACUUUUAGGGUUUGUCAACAAAUGGGCCUCGGGCCUGUUGAGGGGUAGAAUGGUCUUUUACCCUUUCGGGGAUUUGCAUGAGAGAAUAUCCAAAAUAUGAAGAGACAUUUAUAUAGUGAAAUUUAUUAUUGUGACUAGGCGGAGGCUAGGGUAGUAUUCUGAUAUCGAGAUUUUACCGAGAUUCCCAAGGUGAGUCUUCUCACUAUACUUUACCUAGAGUGGUAGUCACAGCUAUGUGACAGUGUAUCUUGUAUGCUAUUUAUGUGUUGUGAUUCUAUGUGAUAUGUGAUAUGCAUGAUUCAGAGUUUACAGAGUUAGGACUAGUGGGUCCACAGAGUUGUGGGACUAAGAGGGUCCCACAGAGAUAUUCGACCAGAGGGUCAUCAGAGUUACAACCUUGAGUGGCUGAUAUGUGUUUAUGUGGUAUUUUGGGGAACUCACUAAGCAUUUAUGCUUACAGAGUUUUGUGUAUGUGUUUCAGGUACUAGUGAUGAUCGCGGAAAAGUGUCGGCAUGAUCUGUACACACUCAUGGAGCUUUUGUUUUAUAUGAUUUUGGGAUAUGUUUUUCUAUAAUGACAGUGGAUACACUAUGUUUAUUAUUAUUUUAUGAAUGAAAGUAUGUUCUUAAAAUUAUAAAAAAUUAUUUGAAAAUUUGGAUGUUACAGAAGGAGCAUUGAAGCGAAAGGAGUUGGAGUCCAGGCUUUGGAUUUGAGCUUUUAUGGGGAUGGAGCAUCAUUUGAAGGUAUAAAGCUCAAAUCUUUCAUAUUCCUUUUUGAAUUGUGCAUAGUAUGGUUCAUUUUAGGGUCUUUGUCCCAAAGCUUGAAGCUUUAUGAGUUGUUAAACUCCAGAGCCCAUUAUCUGUCCUUUUGAGUGUUUUUGAUGGAGUAGUUUCAUAAAAAUGAGAUCUUGGAUGUUAGAAUCAAGUCAUGCAUGAGAUAAGAGCUUAAUGAGAAAAGAGAAUGAGUGUUUUGUGUGUUUGUGACCACAUCAGCCAUGCAAAGGCUUAAAGUCCCUGACUUUAUGGAGUAAGAGGUAUUAGGAAGUCCAGAUCUGAGAAGUGACCUAAAGUCUUAACGGGUUAAGACAUAGAAAAUGGACAAAGCAAAACUGAGCGUACGCCCAACGUAAUUCCAGUACGCCCCACGUACUGGGUUGAUGUCCCUGAUCAGAUUCGUGCAUGCUUGAGUACGCUGAGCGUCCCAAAGGAGGUACACCCCGUGUAACCUCUUUGUGGGCUUUUGGGCUAGAGUUUAUUAAUGGGCCUUAAAGGUUGGGCCUGAAUCUUUGGGCUUGUGUAUUAAAGACUAUGAGCAGAGAAAUAUUAUAAGUAUGCCUUGGGCCCUUGUGUUGGGCUUGUCAUUGAGAUUGAGAAUUGGGCCUUGGGAGAGCUCGUUUGUUAUUAGGCCUUGGUGGGCCCAAUAUGUUUUAGGUCAUUGAUGGGAUGGUUAUAGAUUACCCUCUAGACCCAAUGAGUGAGAGUUUGGACUUAAUUUCUAAUUGAGAUAAUUAUGGGUUUGGCACAGAGUUAGUGGCCGGUGCAUAGCAACAUCGUUUAUAGGGGCUGUUCAUCAUCCGGGGUGAGUCUUCUCACUAUACUUUAGCUUAACUGGUAGUCACGUGUGACCGGAAGGUCUUAUGUGCUUACAUUGAGUGUUAUGUUAUCCUGCAUGAUGUUGUAUGCUAUGCAUUAUGUCUUUGUGUUUUAUGCUAUGCAGAGCUUUACAGACCGGACCGGAGGUCCAACGAGCAGUGGGACCAGAGGGUCCCACUGAGACACAGACCGAAGGGUCUUACAGUGUUAUAGCCUCGAGUGGCUAAUGGGAUGUGGUAUUUUGGGGAAGUGACUAAGCUUCGUGCUUACCGUAUUAUCUGUUAUGUGUUUCAGGUUCUUAUUUGGAUCACGGGAGGGUGCCCGCUUGAUUGUACUCACCUUAGAGAUUGAGUUAUGUUUUAGAGGAUCCUGGAGUUUGAUACAUACUGUUUUUGAUUAUGAGAAUUGAUUAUUUUACUUUGUGACAUUUUGGGAUUUUAUUAUUGUGAUAAAUGUGUUUCUGAAAUUGAAAUUUUUGGUUUGAAAAUUUACGUCGUGACAAGUUGGUAUCAAAUCCUUGGUUUGAGGCAUUCAUUUGCACCUUCAGGUAUAUUUGGACUCAAACUGAGGAAUUGAGAAAAAAUUUGAAAAGAAAUGAUUUUUCUAAAAUGAGCAAGAGUUUCUAAGAUAAAAAUGAGAAGGAGCAAAGUGUACAAUCAGCCAGAGGCCGAACCGUGAUUUCCCAAAAUACCCUUAUUUAUUUAUGUUAUGAGAUAUUUCAUGAGAUAUUAUGCUUGCUAGAGAUAGGCUAAGUAUUUCAUAUUUUAGGAGUAGAGUUGCCUGAUUGUGAUGCCUUAGCCUAGGAGUUGAUGUUAUCUGUGAUUUUCUUUGAGUAUGUGCCGAGUAAGAGUAUCCAACAUGAUUCUUUUAGAGAGAGAGAGAACUUUAACUAAAGGAGUAAUCUAGGAGAGAUGCCUAGAUGGGCAUCGGAGGAGCCUACUAUGAGAGUAGUUAGAUAUGUGUGAGGGAUAGAGUUGCUUGACUUCGAUGACAUCUUUUGAGUGCGAUUAGAUCUAUUGGAGUUAUAACCUAGAGUGGUUUUAAGUAUUGGUAGAGAUUAUAUAUUAUGCCCGAAUGAUGCUUGCUUCAUGCUUUGUGGGACUCUUGAUGAUGGGAGUCAGCUACUAAGUGAAUAUGACGAUAUUCAGGAGGUAGAUGGCUGACAUCAUAAGGAGUUCUUCAGCAGUUGAUGGAAGAAAAGUGUGAUGACCUAGGGAGAGCCUAGGAAGUCAACCUAGUCAGAUAAUUAUGCUGAUGGAGGAGAGUAUUUAGCUGGAGAGAAAACAUGCGUGAUGGGAUUGGUGAUUGAGAAGGUUGAAAAACUACUUAGAAAAUUUGGGACAAUCCAUGUGGAAAGUAUGGGUAGAUGUGGCAGGUAGUAUGGGCCCGUACUACUGAAAGCAGAGGACCCAUACUCGAAGCAGGGAGAGUUCCAGAGAUUCUAAGUAGCAAAUUGAGAAAAUAGGUAACAUGUUUCGAAUACCACGAUUCAUAGCAGAUUAAGAGGUGACCACAUGGUUCGAGUACCAUGAUUCGUUGCGGUUAGUGCUUCUGGUUUUACCAGUUGUCCCGUGGUUGUGGAUUAGUCAGAGAUCAGGUGAUAGAGUGUGGGGCCAGAGGGCAAUGACGAGCAAGUUUUGAUGGAGUAUACAUUGAAGGAAGAUUGAGUUCUUUCCGAGAGAUUUUAUUGGUGAGAUUCCAGUUAGAGCCACAAGGCUCAGGGAUGAGUAGAGAUGAUGCUUAUUGGAGGAAGGAGGUUAGAGUCGAGCCAUCGGUUGAUGGAUGAGACGUCACUUUCUACGGCAAGAGCUACGUUGUUCCCGUUUCCUGGUAGAAACAAUAGAGAAGUCGAGCUUCCGGUUUCAGAGUUUGGAGGUAAACCUAGUGGGGUAGCAUUGGCGGUGACCUUUCCAUCCGAUAAGUGAGCGAUUUGUCUAUUGUGAGGUAUUUUUCGUACCAUGGAGUCAUUAGUGGAAACUGAGAUGGAAGAAACCUGGGAAGGUGCCUUUUGAGUGUGGCCUGCUUUUAGCAGUAGUUUUGGGUGGUUAGGAGGAAUAUUUUGGGGCGGUGGGCCUCUUUGUUAUGACAUGUAUCGGUUGUGAGAGCGAGGUCUUGUGCCUUGAUAAUGAUUCCCGUGUUGGGAGGCUGGUCGAGGAAUCAAAGACGAAGUGUGUGAUAGUGCAUUAUGUUUCAGACCGAGAGUCAGGACUAUUUCGGAUCAGUUGGGGUAUCCGGAGGUGUAUCGGUAUGAGGCUUCGAGAUGACUAGAGGCAGUCACGUUGGGAGAAUUAUGAUAUUCUUGUCUGAGUAUGGGAUAUUUGUUGUUGUUGGGUUACAUCGGGAAGAUCAUUGAAGAGAGUAUGUGGUAUGUUCCUAAGAGUUAAGUGUGAUAUGUCCGGUAAAACAGUCUGUGGAGGCGAUUGUGGGUAUGCCAAUUGGUGAUGAUUCGAACCCUGAGUGGGGGAGGAUUGAGUAUUUUAUAACGAAGAUGCAAGAUUUGUUCAGGUGCUAUUGGAAAACUGAUUAUGGAGAUCUGCGGUCCAGAUGCACGAGACUUGGGUUAUUGAUAGAUGAGGAAAAGGUGCAAGACGGGAUGAUGUGCGAGCCUAUGUGAAAUGAAGGAUAAGUGAACCCACGGCAGGUGGCCGUCGGUUAGGGAAUUCAUUGUGGCUAGGGAUAUCUCGGAUUUGCAAAAGUUGAGUUCAAGGCAGAUGGGUCGUUGAGUUCAGGGUGCAAUAGCUGAGAUUUGCAAGUAUAGGUAUAGAUUGUGAUCUAUACUCUAGGAGGAGCAACAGUUGAUUUGUCAACCAAUUUCGGAGUCGGUAUGAGUAGUUCGUAUGGGCGGUGAUCAAUAGAGGGUGGAGCUUCAAAAUUUUGUCAAUGUGUUUUCACUCAUUGAUGAUUCCUAUGUGUUCAAGUUGUGAGUCGGGGCAUUUCGAGGUCCUGAGUGUGAUAUCGUAAGCGGAAUAUCAGUGCAUGAUACAAGGCGUCGUGGAGUUUUGCGAUGGGAUACCAGGGGUACCUGUGUAUGACGCCCUAAGUUUUCGGAUUAUUUUGAGAUUUGAGUUGCUAGAGGAGUACCAAGUGUCUAGUGUUCUAGUAGGAAACCCAUCAGUUAAUUGUCGCAGAGUGAGUCUAUUUAUCGGUGUGCCUGUGUUGAGAAGAGUGCCUGACUUAUGAGAGUUUAAAUCAGGAGUGGGGUACGUGAGCUGAGUGUGUGUGCACCUGUCUCUGUUGUGUUAUGGAGUAUGAGUUAGUGAACUCAGUGUAGUGAUGACUUAAUGAUGAGAUUGCGAUGUGAUAAAAUAGUGAGUAGAUCCGGAUGGUGGUAAUCGUGUGGGGUUAUCAGGAGAAACCAUGGAGAGAGCCAAUGGUGAGACAAAGUGAGAGAAUGUUGUAAGAAUAUGGGGAGCCAUAGCAUCCAUGUGUCAUUGGAAGAGAUUGUUGUGAUACUNNNNNNNNNNNNNNNNGGCGUAGUAUUCACUAGAUAGCGAUAGAGUGUUGUGAUACCACGGGGAGUCGUGGCAUUCAGGAGUCAGUGAGAGGGUGUGGUAAGUCUGUGAGGAGUCGUAGCAUUCAUGAGUCAAUAAAGGAGCAUGUUAAGACUACGGGGGAAACCGUAGCACUCAGUAGUUGGUAAGAGAGAAUACUGUUUAAUAGGGAGUUGUAGUAUUCACUAAUACGAGUAUGAUGUAGAGGAGUUCUUAGACUUGGGUAGCCUUAGUACUUAAGUCUUCGGGAGCCUGGUUGCUGAACCAAGAGAGAGGCGGGGGCCUCCGUGUUGAUUAGGAAUCGUUAUAUCCCUGGGAUGAGGAGGGAUUAUCGUAAUCAGAAGGGAUUAGAGAGAUUGUGUGUGCAUAAAUCCAUGAAUUUUGGGUCAUGAGUUGGGUACCAGAUUGGAAAUGUGUGGUUCCAAUUCUGCUAUUGGAUCAGACUCUCAAGUUCGAGUUUGGAUCCAUUCGUGUAUUGAAUAGGCGAGAUAAGGUUUCAGAUUCGUGGAUGGGUUCCAUUUUGAGGGGUGUUGACCUCCAUCUCAUGUCUUUGCCCAGAGUGGGAUUGUUGCAUUGUGUGACAUCCCCAAAAUCACGGCCAGAAAAGACCGGUUUGUUUAUGCUUUGUUUAAAAAUCAAAGUAACAUUUUAAAUAAAAGUGUUGCGGAAUUUGUCCCAAAACAAAAUAUGACAAAGAUUUAUCAAAAGCAUUUCCAUAGAAAUGUAUUUCAUUAAAAGACUUGAGAUGUCAUGUUCGUACAGAUCAAAAGCAUAAACAGUACAAUAUAAGCCUUACUACAUUAUUUCAUAUCUACAGGCCUAUAUCUGUAAUCCCUCGUCCAAACAUCAUAACUAUGCUCAAGCGCCACUACCUGUAAUACAUAAAACUGAGUGGGUCAGGCUUGGGAGCCUGGUGAGCACAUAGGGUUUUCAACCCACAAUAAAUAAGUUUAUUAACUUCAUUAAAUUAAACAAACCCGAUUACCCGUUCCCGUUAUCCUCACAUUACGUCCCUAAGCAUCUAUCAUAAGGGACCUAUCCUAAGGAUUAUCAUCGGGACAGACACUACUGCUAAGGGGAUUCCUCAGCAAUAAAUGUCCUUAAGGCAACCAUAUGGGGGAUGGAGUACAUCUGGUGAGCACACAGUUCAAAUAAACACACAGUUCGAAUAAACACCUACAGGUUGCGAGCCUGCUAGUGUUCCACUGGACUGUCUAGAAUAGUCCGUGGUCGUCAUCUAUACUCUGCUAGAUGACUGGAUCAUCAAUAACAUCUAUAACGAGGCCUCUCAUNNNNNNNNNNNNNNNNNNNNNNNNNNNNNNNNNNNNNNNNNNNNNNNNNNNNNNNNNNNNNNNNNNNNNNNNNNNNNNNNNNNNNNNNNNNNNNNNNNNNNNNNNNNNNNNNNNNNNNNNNNNNNNNNNNNNNNNNNNNNNNNNNNNNNNNNNNNNNNNNNNNNNNNNNNNNNNNNNNNNNNNNNNNNNNNNNNNNNNNNNUUAUUAUUAUUAUUAUUAUUAUUAUUAUUAUUAUUAUUAUUAUUAUUAUUAUUAUUAUAUAAGCGUUUAAACAAUACUUUCCAACUACUAUGUACAGACAGGGGCCAGACAUAAAACACCGGAGGGCAGGACCAUUUUGGCGUAUAGCACUUCUGAAAUCCAACAACCCUAUGCGGCCCUUUAAACCAGAUUCCCCGUACCGCGAGUAGUUAAAAGAUAUUAUAACGACACUUAUAUAAGUCAUAAUAAUAGCUCAAAUAUUUAUUAUAAAUUUAUAAUAACAAUACUAAUUUUAAAUAUAAACUAUAUUUAAAAUAGGGUAAACAUAACUUACUUACAAGGGGAUUUUAGCUAGGAGUCGGGCUCUGCAGGGGCAGAACUUCGUCGCUGAAUCUUUCUAAGAAAGAUUCGUGCAGCGCUUCAGCGCUCACCUUACUAUACUAAAACUACAGAAAGAGAAGUCGAAUCACGAGGGACCGAAAUGCUCGGGGGAUAAGGAGAGAAAGACUCUUGAAUCAAGAGAAUGGUGCAAGAAAUAUGAGAGCCCAAGGCUCUUAUUUAUACUAAUUGAAUUUUCAAAAACUACCCUCCAUAAUUACUUAAUGACCUUUUAGUUAUAUAAACAACUAAACACCCCUCUAUAAUACUAUUUUAAAUGGAUUUAAUGAUCUUUGUACUAAACUAAUGUCGAAAGAACUCAACAUUAGUUUUAUAAUAACCGCAUCGUCGAUACCUUUCUAAUGAUAUAUACAUAUGUAUAUAUAUGUGUACGUAUACAUGAUUUAUACUUUAUUUUAAUACGUAAAUAUACUACUAUAAUUUGUAACUCGCUCAUACGAACUCCGUUUUUGACGUUAUUUAUAUCCACGCGUAGGUGGAGACAUACUCUACAACUUUCGUUUAGACUCCGUUGGUUAAUUUUGACUUUAUUUUUAAAGUUAUAUUUUUAACAGGCCAGGACAGGAUUGGUCCGUUAAAAUCUCAUAACUUCUUUAUUCGAUGUCCAUUUUUGUCUGUAUUUUUAUCGUUACGCUACUAAUAACGAGAUCUUCGAUUCUCGUUUAGGUUGUGUCGGCUAAAAAUCAAUCGAUCUAAAAUUCGAAUUUCGGGCUGUACACCGCUAAUCCGAAACUUCGAAAAAUCAUAACUUCUUCAUACGAAGUCAGAUUUGGGCGUUCUUUUUAUCGAUGUUCUUAGUUUAACAUAUUCUACGACUUUUGUUUAGAGAGCUAAGGCUAAAUCUCGCUCUAUCAUAAAUUUACUAUUUACGCUUCCUGGUGUCGUGCCGGUUCCGACGCGAAACUUCGACGGGUCAUAACUUCUUCGUUAUAACUCGGAUUUCGGCGUUCUUUAUAUGUACGGAAACCUUGUGAAAUAUUCUACAACUUGUUUAAGAUUAUUUACUCUAAAUAAUAUUUUUUUCGAAAAGUCGUUUUCGACGCCUAUUGCCUCUAAAUUGAUUAGCCCGGAUCUGCGGGCGUUACAAUUAUCUCCCCCUUAGGAUGAUUACGUCUCGGAAUCAUCAACGAAACANGACUCCAUACGUCAUCUCUUCAUCCUAGGUAAUAAUUAUAACUUCUAUAUUCCUUCAAGUCUAUCUCUUAGACUCAUUGACUGUAAGCAGUACUCGAUCGUGCACCUGCUCUCUACCUCAGGCUAGACUCCAAAUUAUGACCUAUCAUCAUGUGAUGCACGUUUAGACUCAGGUCUCUUAGAGUUAAAUUCUAAAACAGACUAUGGCUUCCUUCAUGUUCUAAUGUGAUAUAAUCACACUUUAACAUGUAGCGUUUCUAGCUACCAACUUUUUUAACAAUGAACGCGAUACUUCUAUUGAUCGCUUGGAUUUCAAUUGUUUGGUUUAAGUCGGACACUACAUCGAACUUGGUUCCCUGAACCAAUGCUCAUCGUAGUCGGACUCAAUUCGAUAUGACCACUAGGGUCGGAAUAUCAACAAUCUUUUUAGUCAUUACNCGAUGGUAACAACACACUUGAAUAAAACGAAAUCAAUUACUAGCUUCUUGGUAACCUUGUGACUUUCCCUGAUCCAAGUGUGAGUCCUGUGCUUCCGGUAGUAUAGGCCUCUACUACCAUUCACACCUACUCAUACUCGUCUCAGGUAUUGUCCCACAGUUUUCCAAGUCACCACACAAGAAAAUCACAUAACAGCUUAACACAUCAAAUAUGAAAACGAAGGUUUUUUUUAUUAUUCCUANAACUAUUACAUAGGUGUUCAAGUUCACCCUAGACUAUGCCUCUAACAGGCUACAUCAUACGAUUCUAUGGCUACCUCAUAACUCGAUCUUUGGAUGUCAAGUUGUCACUCCUGAAUCCUCGCAUUGUCAUCUGCUUCGUCAAGGAUCAUUUGAAAUGCUCUCGCCUUUGGCUUUGGCGGCACAUUUGGCUUUGUAGCCCCCUCUCUCUUUGGGCAAUCUUGCUUGAAGUGUCCUUCCUCAUUACAUUCGUAACACACCCUUUUAUUGAAUUUACACUCGUUGGCAUAAUGCCCAUGCUUCCCACACUUGAAACAAGUUACUUCCUCACCGCAUUUUCCAGAGUGUUUCUUUUUGCACUUCUCGCACCAUCUUUCUUCACUCCCUCCUCCUCUGAACUUCCUGGUACUGGAUUUGCUUCUCUCAUCGGGCUUCACAGACCCCUCAAAUUUCCUCUUUUCGCCAACCUCGGUCUUGUUGGCGGCUCUUCCCUUGAUCAUCUCCUCAACCGACUUGGUAGCCCAGAUAGCUGCCUCCAAAGUAGGUGCCUGACGCACUGGCACUGCAUAUUCCCAUGGAAGUCCUUUUGCGUACUUGUCAAUUUUCGUCAGCUCAUCCGGAAUAAGACGUAAGGCGAACUCCAUCUUCUCUGUGAAGUUGUUGGUGUAUUCAUCAACAGACAUGCUUCCUUUCUUUAAGAUAAGGAAUUGCUUUUCUAGCUCGAGCAGAUUUUGGGCUGAGCAGUACCUACGUUUGAAUUGCACCAGAAAUUCUGCCCAUGUCAGUUGCAGGGGCUCAUUGGGGCUCAACGUCUUUCCCAAGGUAUUCCACUAUCGUACAACGCCUGCUCGAAACUGACGCACUGCAAGUAUGGUCUGUUGUUUUCCCUUGCAACCGCACGUCAUGAAAGCUAAUUCCAUCUCCGAGAUCCAAUCCAUGACCCCGAUCGGAUCCUCCUUUCCAGUGAAAGUCGAUGGCUUGCAAGUCAGAAAAUCCUUGUACUUGCAUCCAUUCCUCUCGACCUCGUCAUCUUGGUUGUUUUGUCGAACUAUUGGUGGGUUGACUUGAACAACAGUCCCACUGUAGUUUCCUUCCUCAGUCUGCCCUUCGUUCAACUCGGGCUGUUCGAUCUGAAUAGUCGCUUCCUCUUGAUUUUGCAGGAGCAAACGUCUGGUUUCCUCCAUUUGACGAUCUAACAUCGCUUGCACUCCGGCCAUCGUUAUUGGCUCAGCAGCGGCUAACACAACCGGUAUNNNNNNNNNNNNNNNNNNNNNNNNNNNNNNNNNNNNNNNNNNNNNNNNNNNNNNNNNNNNNNNNNNNNNNNNNNNNNNNNNNNNNNNNNNNNNNNNNNNNNNNNNNNNNNNNNNNNNNNNNNNNNNNNNNNNNNNNNNNNNNNNNNNNNNNNNNNNNNNNNNNNNNNNNNNNNNNNNNNNNNNNNNNNNNNNNNNNNNNNNNNNNNNNNNNNNNNNNNNNNNNNNNNNNNNNNNNNNNNNNNNNNNNNNNNNNNNNNNNNNNNNNNNNNNNNNNNNNNNNNNNNNNNNNNNNNNNNNNNNNNNNNNNNNNNNNNNNNNNNNNNCGAAACGUUUACAUGCUAGUUCUAAUAUCGUAGUCGUACGUUUAGAAUCCUAAACACAUAAGGUUUCCAGAUCCGGUCGGCAACAGACCAUAGAUCCGAACAAUUAACAGCAUAUUAUGCACAAAGCAUUUAGCACAUAAAAGCAUUUUAGGCACAAUUCCUAAAAUAAGCUAGUGCUCACACCUCACAAUCAUCGCUUAGCAUUCUAAGUUUAAGUCUAGAAAUCCUACAAAUUCCUAGUUCGCUUAAACUAAUGCUCUGAUACCAACUGUGACAUCCCCAAAAUCACGGCCAGAAAAGACCGGUUUGUUUAUGCUUUGUUUAAAAAUCAGAGUUACAUUUUAAAUGAAAGUGUUGCGGAAUUUGUCCCAAAACAAAAAUAUGAUAAAGAUUUAUCAAAAGCAUUUCCAUAGAAAUGUAUUUCAUUAAAAGACUCGGGAUGUCAUGUUCGUACAGAUCAAAAGCAUAAACAGUACAAUAUAAGCCUUACUACAUUAUUUCAUAUCUACAGGCCUAUAUCCGUAAUCCCUCGUCCAAAACAUCACACCUAUGCUCAUGCGCCACUACCUGUAAUACAUAAAACUGAGUGGGUCAGGCUUGGGAGCCUGGUGAGCACAUAGGGUUUUCAACCCACAAUAAAUAAGUUUAUUAAUUUCAUCGAUCAACAAUAACCCGAUUACCCGUUCCCGUUAUCCUCACUUUACGUCCCUAAACACCUAUCAUAAGGGACCUAGCCUAAGGAUCAUCAUCGGGACGGACACUACUGCUAAGGGGAUUCCUCAGCAAUAAAUGUCCUAAAGGCAACCAUGUGGGGGAUGGAGUACACCGGUGAACAUAUCGUUCACAAACACCUACAGGUUGCGAGCCUGCUAGUGUUCCACUGGACUGUCUAGAAGAGUCCGUGGUCGUCAUCCAUACUCCGCUAGAUGACAGAAUCAACAACAUCAACAUCGAGGCCUCUCAUCAUUUUAUCACACAUCACCUAUUGCAUCUACCCAUGUUUUACCCCAACAUUUUCGUAGAUAUAAAAUACAUAUACAGUUUAAAUCAUUGAAAACAUGUAUAACAACGUUCAUCUAGCAUAGAUAGCAAGUAUUCAGAUAAUAUGCACACAUAGCACGUAAUUUAUAUAAAAUACUUCAUAUCUAUGUGUAAGUUGAAAGUAACUAUGCACUCACUUGUUAAGGUGAUGAUUCCAAAAUCGGGCAGCGCUUGCUUCUAACGAUUCUAUUUUCCUUCGACGAAACCUAGCAUUAUUAUCGCUAAAUUUUAGUCUAAUAUUUACCGUGACCAACUAUUAGUCUUAGUAUUAUUAUUAUUAUAUAAGCGUUAAACAAUAUUUUCCAACCACUAUGUACAGACAGGGGCCAGACAUAAAACACCGGAGGGCAGGACCAUUUUGGCAUAUAGCACUUCUGAAAUCCAACAACCCUAUGCGGCCCUUUAAACCAGAUUCCCCGUACCGCGAGUAGUUAAAAAAAAUAUUAUAACGACACUUAUAUAAGUUAUAAUAAUAGCUCAAAUAUUUAUUAUAAGUUCAUAAUAACAAUACUAAUUUUAAAUAUAAGCUAUAUUAAAAUAAGGUAAUCAUAACUUACUUAUAAGGGGGUUUUAGGUAGGAGUCGGGCUCUGCAGGGGCAGAACUUUGUCGCUGAAUAUUUCUAAGAAAGAUUCGUGCAGCGCUUCAGCGCUCACCUUACUAUACUGAACUAAAGAAAAAGAAGUCGAAUCACGAGGGACCAAAAUGCUCGCGGGAUAAGGAGAGAAAGACUAUUGAAUCAAGAGAAUGGUGCAAGAAAUAUGAGAGCCCAAGGCUCUUAUUUAUACUAAUUGAAUUUUCAAAAACUACCCUCCAUAAUUACUUAAUGACCUUUUAGUUAUAUAAACAACUAAACACCCCUCUAUAAUACUAUUAUAAAUGGAUUUAAUGAUAUUUGUACUAAACUAAUGUCGAAAGAACUCAACAUUAGUCUUAUAAUGACCGCAUAGUCGAUACCUUUCUAAUGAUAUAUACAUAUGUAUAUAUAUGUGUACGUAUACAUGAUUUAUACUUUAUUUUAAUACGUAAAUAUGCUAUUAUAAUUUGUAACUCGUUCAUACGAACUCUGUUUUUGACGUUCUUUAUAUCCAUGCGUAGGUGGAGACGUACUCUACAACUUUCGUUUAGGCUCCGUCGGCUAAUUUUGACUUUAUUUUUAAAGUUAUAUUUUUAACAGGCCGGGACAGGAUUGGUCCGUUAAAAUCUCAUAACUUCUUCAUCCGAUGUCCAUUUUUUUCUGUUUUUUUAUCGUUACGCUACUAAUAACGAGGUCUUCGAUUCUCCUUUAGGUUGUGUCGGCUAAAAAUCAAUCGAUCUAAAAUUCGAAUUUCGGGCUGUACACCGCUAAUCCGAAACUUCGAAAAAUCAUAACUUCUUCAUACGAAGUCAGAUUUGGGCGUUCUUUUUAUCGAUGUUCUUAGUUUAACAUAUUCUAUGACUUUUGUUUAGAGCGCUAAGGCUAAAUCUCGCUCUAUCAUAAAUUUACUAUUUACGCUUCCCGGUGCCGUGCCGGUUCCGACGCGAAACUUCGACGAGUCAUAACUGCUUCGUUAUAACUCGGAAUUCGGCGUUCUUUAUAUGUACGGAAACCUUGUGACAUAUUCUACAACUUGGUUAAGAUUAUUUACUCUAAAUAAUUUUUUUGUUGAAAAGUCAUUUUCGACCCCUAUUGCCUCUAAAUUGACUAGCCCGGAUCUGUCGGCGUUACACAUUGGUAUGGGACGAACCGUGAGACGCAUGGAACCGGUAAGUAGUACACGACAAAGGUCGAAGGUGCAAAAACUUCAGAAGGGGUUGUAAUAUUCGCUUGAGGUAAGGCAAACUUCGUGACUUGUGUGUCACUAUGAGUCGAGAUAGUUGUUGUGAAAAGGAAGUCGGUGAGUCGUUCUAGUAAAACAAUGAGUAACCUUAGGAUGUUCAACUAAAUGGGUUGAGAGAUGACCUGGUGAUCAGUGCUGAAGGGGAUAUUUGAGAAGGAGUUGGAGCUUAUGUGCUUAGAAGCCCAAGGAUACUUCUAAGCAGGCACACUUGUUUCCUUUUGUACGGGGAUAAUGUGUUGUGGUUUGUUUUGUGCAGAUGGGUUCUAAUUGCAUAACAGUCGAUGGGUCCCUGGUGGGAUAUGACCCUUUCCGUUCUUUUGGUAUAUGAUCUUGAUCGGCAGAAAGGUCAGGUGUGUGUGUUCAUAAAUGGUUUUGUUCGAGGAUCUGAUUUCAUCAGUCGCAUGAAGAUAAUUAGAGUUGAGAAUGUGAUUUUGGGAUCGGUCAUUCGAUGAGUGGGUGACCUUGUGAUACAUCGCAAGGGCAGUUUGGCAGGGAAACAGACCACUAGAAUUUUCAAGUGUUGGUGAUACAAAACGAGUACCACAAUAGAGUCCAUCCUUUUCGGGUUUGGGAGCCCCUAAUGGGUUAAGGUAUCCUUAGAAGAGUUUGUUGUAUGAUUUGAGGCCCUUUCGGUGGUGCUUCUCAGGUUUUCGGGCUCGAUCUAUGUGUUGAUAAGGAGCGAUUUCGAGGACAAAAUCUAAUUCAAUUGGGGGAGAAUUGUAACAUCCUGUUCCGGAUCGUCUGUGAUCAGAGUUCGUGGGCUGCAAACCGGGCAAGAGGAAGCCUUGGGGUUGUGACAAGUUGCUAGAAGCAUAGGGUAUCUCAUCACCUUUCUGUAGGUAAGAGGACCUUUGGAAUAAGAGUUGUAUCAAAGAAGCUAUGGAAGUUUGGAGAUUUGGCAAGAUAAGCCCCUAAGUUAAGAAAUAUGGUUGCGGAGUACGCUGGGCGUACGUAUGUGUACGCUUAGUGUAAGGAUGUGCGUGAUCCUUAAGCAAGAGCCACUAAGUACGCUGGGUGUAACAGAGGGUAUGCUGGGCAUACUAGGCACAGUGUGGAAAUCCUAAUAUUUUAAGUGACCCUAUAUAAGGAAUUAGAUGGCCUCAUUCCUGGCCACCUUUCUCAGAGAACAUACCCUCCAAAACCCUAAACCUUCGUUCAUAAGAGCCGGUGAGUGCAUGAGAGCCCUUGGGGUGACCUUGUGAGUCCUUGGAAGUGAAGAAGGAGCAUUGAAGGAAAAGGAGUUGGAGUCCAGGCUUUGGAUUUGAGCUUUAAUGGGGAUGGAGCACCAUUUGAAGGUAUAAAGCUCAAAUCUUUCAUAUUCCUUUUUGAGUUGUGCAUAGUAUGGUUCAUUUUAGGGUUUUUGGUCCUAAAGCUUGAAGCUUUAUGAUUUGUUAAACUCCAUAGCCCAUUAUCUGUCCUUUUGAGUGUUUUUGAGGGAGUAGUUUCAUAAAAAUGAGAUCUUGGAUGUUAGAAUCAAUUCAUGCAUGAGAAAAGAGAAUGAGUUUUUUAUGUGUUUGUGACCACAUCAGCCAUGCAAAGGCUUAAAGUGCCCGACUUUAUGGAGUAAGAGCUAUUAGGAAGUCCAAAUAUGAGAAGUGAGCUAAGGUCUUAACAGGUUAAGACCAAGAAAAUGAACUAAGCAAAACUGAGCAUAGACCCAACGUAAUUCCAGUAUGCCCAACGUACUGCGUUGAGGUCCCCGAUGAGAUUCGGGCAUGCUUGAGUAUGUUGAGUGUACCAAAGGAGGUACGCCCCGCGUAACCUCUCUGUGGGCUUUUGGGCUAGACUUUAUUAAUGUUCCUUAAGGGUUGGGCUUGAAUGUUUGGGCUUGUGUAUUAGAGACUAUGAGCAAAGAAAUAUUAUAAGUAUGCCGUGGGCCCUUGUGUUGGGCUUGUCAUUGAGAUUGAGAAUUGGGCCUUGGGAGAGCCCGUUUAUUAUUGGGCCUUGGUGGGCCCAAUAGGCUUUAGGUCAUUGAUGGUCUGGUUAUAGAUUAACCUCUAGACCCAAUGAGUGAGAGUUUGGACUUAAUUUGUAAUGUAGAUAAUUGUGGGUUUGGCACAUAGUUAGUGGUCGGUGCGUAGCAACAACGUUUAUAGGGGUGUUCAUCAUCCGAGGUGAGUCUUAUCGCUAUGAUUUACUUUGAGUGGUAGUCAUGUGUGACUGGAAGGUCUUAUGUGCUUACAUUUAUCAUUAUGUUAUCCCGUGUUAUGUUGUAUGCUAUGCAUUAUGUGUUUAUGAUUUACUCUAUGCGCAGAUUUACAGACCGGACCGGAGGGUCUUACAGUGUUAUAGCCUUGAGUGGCUAAUGGGAUGUGGUAUUUUGGGGAACUCACUAAGCUUCGUGCUUACCGUGUUAUGUGUUAUGUGUUUCAGGUUCUUAUCUAGAUCACUGGAGGGUGCCGACUGGAUUAUACACACCUCAGAGAUUGAGUUAUGUUUUAGAGUUUCCUGGAGUUUGAUACAUACUGUUUUUUAUUAUGAGAAUUGAUUAUAUGACUUUGUGACAUUUUGGUAUUUUAUUAUUGUGAUAAAUGUGUUUUUAAAUUGUAAAUUUUGGUUUGAAAAUUUACGUCGUUACAGAUUGGGAAUUUAUAAAAAACAUUUAGUUACUUUAUAAUAAUCAUUAUACUUUUAAUGAGAAUUUUAAGUCAUUGUCCUACCCGUUUGGCUAACGACCCUCCACCGAUUAAGGAAGCGGUGGGUGAAAGUGGACACCCAUUAAGCUACCAUUUUAUAGGCAACAACCUUAUAACCCCUUUAUAGACCGACUUCGUGAAUAUGGCCUACUAACGGUAAAACGACUUGAUCUUAUAUAUAUAUAUAUAUAUAUAUAUNNNNNNNNNNNNNNNNNNNNNNNNNNNNNNNNNNNNNNNNNNNNNNNNNNNNNNNNNNNNNNUAUAUAUAUAUAUAUAUAUAUAUUAGUAACUUAUAAUACUAUAAAGUAUAAGGGUUGAAUUUUAACUUUUAAACUUCUAGGGGUUGGAACUAAAGUUUACUAGACGACUAUACAUGUUCCAAAACUUGAGGGCAAGUUUUGUAACUUUACAAAACCUUUCAAUUCAUAACUUAUGAGUUAUUAAAAAUGAAGACUCUUCAUUUUGGUAACUUAUGUGUUCUUUUAAUGGAUUUAAUACAAAGUGACUUUUGGUUAUGCAUAACUUGAGGACAAGUUAUGGACUCCAUUAAAACACAUAAAGAUCAUAAAUUAAGCAUUAAACAAGUAAUUCCUAUGAUCUAUCAAGAACUCAUAACAACAUGAAUAUUCAUAUCUAAAUUUCAAGAACAUAUGAACACAUAUAAACAUGGAAUUUAGAUAUUAGCCAUUGUAAAUAGAGUAGAACAACCAUUACACUAUCUAAAACAAGUUUUAUAACACCAAAAUAGUUCAGGGUAAUGUUUCUAGUCCAUUUCCAGUAGCAAAAAUUGAAAAUGUGCACUCUGCCUACCCAACUCGUCAAGUGCAAGAACCAACUCGCCGAGUUGGUUGAAGAUUCACUUGGACUCGUUGAGUCCCCCAUGGACUCGGCGAGUCCCCUAUGCAGACAACAAGAAAUUUGACUUUUUUUUUCACUAUUUUGCAUCAAGUAUCAAACAAACUAGCCUAGGCUCUGAUACCACUGUAGGGUUUUGAGCAUUCUAACACUCCUAAGGUGUACAUGCAACCCUAGAAACCUUGGAUCUAUGUUUGUCUAAAAUACAUGCAAAAUUUGAUUUCCAAGGUUCUUAAGCCUAUCUAGCAUACAUGGGGAAUUUUAAUCAUAAAAGUUUGCUAGAAAUACAUACCUAGAAGUGAUUUGGAUUCCUUGAAAACUUGUGAGCCUAGCACCCCAAGUGUGAUGCCUCGAAUGUCUCACACAACACCAAAUGCACUUGGAAUAAAUUGAGAGAUAUGUAGAACACUUAGAAAUUGACUUGCCCUCACUAGUUCUCUUAGGUGUCGAUUUUGGUGUGUAACAUGAAGCUUAUAUAGUGUGUUACAAUAAAGGUUACACCAUGUAAACCCUAAUUGUCACGACCUUUCAUUUCCAUGACCCAUGGUUCCUAUAAACACCAUGGAGCAUCCUAUGGGUUUUAGCCCAACUUGAUAAUCCAUGGAGCAUUAGCCCACUAUACAAGUAUGAGUGGUUUACACAAUCAAACCAUAUAUUUAAUUAGUCUUAUUUUGAUCACUUAAUUAAUUCUUGGUGUAUACUAAUUAAAUAAUACUAUUAAUAUAUUAGAACUUAUAAUAUAUUAAUAGACCUUAAGAGUUAUUUGUCUCAUUUUAGUCUAUCCAAAUGCAUGAUGUCAUGCAACCCAAAUGGACCAUGCCAAACUGGGUCAAGUACACACUAGAAAUAGUUAUGGACUUAAACACCUUAUCCAACACAUUGUUGACUCAUUUAAUGAAUAUCGAUUCAUUAAUCAUUGUGCUCUACCUCGAGCAUCUGAUAGCUCUUGAGUUUGGAGAUCCAUUAACUCGCGCCUUUGCUGAUCUAGUAUGUUAUGCAUCAUUAAUCGAGCUUCAUCCAUCGGGAACAGAGCAUGUCCUGCUAUGAUGUUUUGAGGUGCUAGACCUCCUUCGUUUUGAGGUGCUAGACCCGUAGGUUUUAGUAUUUUAAUAUAGUAAUAUUUUACUUAGUAUAUAUAAUUACUUAGUAAGCAUUUAAUAAGGCAUUUAGUAAUUAAGGCAUCUCCCUAUAGUACACUACUGAUCUUGAUUAUAGCAUUCUUUGGCAUCUAGCCUAAAGCAUGCUACCAUAUAAAUAUCUUAGCACAUAAUAACAAUUAAGGUACGUCCCUUGAAGUAUUAUAGUGCUUGUUUAAAUUCAUGUAUAUGAUGGGUUUUAGGUAAAACAAAUAAACUAGAAAACAAUUCCUAAGUUCACAGGCAACCUACUUUGGAUCUAUGUUUUAACUAUUGAACAUAUAACUUUGAAUUGCAAACAAGAACCCUAGAGGAGAGAGGCUAUUUUUGAAAUUGAUUAACUAGGGUUUAAGAGUUACAUACCUUUCAAUUAUUAUAGUAAACAAUUGAUAAUCCUCUUGAACUUGAUCUUCUUGGAAGCCUAGCACCACAAAUGUAAUGUCUCUAAUGGAAUCAUACCCAAGAACUAGCAAGAAGGAAACUUGAAGGAGAGAGAGGGUAGGGUAUGCAAAAGUCGGCCUAGGGUUUCUUCCAAGGUAGGAGUGGCCGAUUUUAGGAGCUGGGAGGCUCCUUAUAUAGCUGAGGGAUCUAGGGUUUUAGGAAAACCCUAAUACUCCAUUGCUUGGGGCCUUAGCUAAUCCAAAGGCCUUAUCCGAAGCCCCUUGGACGAAAUCCUUAGGGUUUCCCCUAUAGAUUUCGUCCACCUCCUUCCAAGGAGGUUCUGGAGCCUUCCACUCAAGUAUCUGAAAAUUGCGAACUAGUCCCUACACUUUAUAAUUAAUACUUUUAACCCGGAAAUUAAUUCUAAUUAAUUUCUGGCUAACUAUUAACUAAACAUUAUGAUUUCUAAUCAAUAUAUUAAUCUUUUAACAUAUUAAUAAAUCAUUUAUAUUAAUUUAUUAAUCUUAUAAUAAAUGAAUAUCUCUCCUUUCAUAAUUUCCUUGUCUAGUUGCUAGAUUUGAGGGCAACCCAAAAGGACUGUGCUACUAUCAAUUCAAGUACGUACAUACCAAUUAUAGUUAUGGGCUUAGACACCUAAUCCAACAGUAUACUACCUAAAAUAAAAAAAACACUUGCCUCACAAUCAUUGGUUAGCAUUCUAAGUUUAUGUCUAGAAAUCCUCACAAUUCUAGUUCUUUUAAAAUAAUGCUCCGAUACCAACUGUUAGGGCCGAUCCAAACGUAUUUGGAGCCCGGGGCAAAAAGAAAAAAAAGGGCCCCUUACAGACAAAUAUAAUAAAGAUUAAAAAAAAAUAUUAUUUAUUCUUCAAUAUAAACGUGUUCAAUUAGCAAUAACAGGCAACCCAAAUUCUUAAACUUUUAAGCUAGUUUGAGUUUCAACCAACUUUAGGCAUAAAAAUCAUUUAGGUAAUAAUUUUUUUAUAUAUAUAAACUACAUAGCCAAGAAAUUUUGGACCCCCGGAAGAUAUGGGCCCUGGGCGGUCGCUCGAGUUGCCCACCGUUUGGAUCGGCCCUGCCAAUUGUGACAUCCCCAUAUUCACGACCAACUAAAAACUUUUUAUUUAUGCUUAUUUUAAAUUAGAGUGAUAUCUAUAAAUGCAUAAUUUUUCCCAUAAUAGUAUUUCUGAAGAAAAUCUUUUUCAUUGAUUAUUAAAACUUGGGAUGUCAUAAUGAUGUUAAGGGUUGGAUACUUGAAUCAUAUUCUGGAUCCUUAAAUAAUUUUCAAGCCUCAGGAUCCUUAAACAUAUCCCGAGAUCCUGACUAUUACCACUAAUAUUUCUAACACUUGUAAUGACUAUAUUUUCUCUAUUUAUCCCACAUGUGAAAAACUAGUCAACACAAGAUCCAUUCUAAAAAAAGAGACACCUCAACCAGGGAAAAAACUCGAAAUACCAAGUCAAAAAAUGUUCAUAUGUUGAUUCUGGAGGAUCUAAGAAUUAUCAGACUUUUUGUUAUUAGAAUUAGACUAUAAAUAGCACAUGUAACUAGCAUACUAUAGAUACACUUAGCUCAUAUAUGAUAAUUGUACUUACAUUCAUACAUUUAUCUCUGUAUUCAACAUUUUAUAUCAAUAAAGUCAUCAGGUGAUCAUUGUUACCUCCCAAGGUUUUAUGUCAGAGAUCCUAUCAAGGAUCUAGGGGUUUCCUUGUAACUCAAUUGUGUUACUUUGAUUAUCAUUUCACACUAGAUUAUUGCGAACAUUACAACCUCUCAUACAAUUUGGUUAGGUUCUACUUAGUUGACUUUUGACCAAAACAAUUUAGCGCCCACUGUGGGGUUGUGGUGUUCAAAACCUUUCAGAAAAUCAUGUCUACACAACCAACCAUAUCUUCCUCCUCCAUUCCUACCAUUUCCUCCAAAAACCUUCCACCACCUCUAUCUGGAGGUCCCAAAAAGACUUCCGAUGCACCGAAGAAAAGCACUCAUCCAGUUGCUACUCAAGGAUCCCAUGAUCCUCUUGUAGCAAUCAUCAACAAUGAGCUCUUUGCUAUGAUGAGGAGAUUGGAACGACAAGUGACCCAAUAUCAGGAGGACAAUAGAACGAUACUCUAGGAAAUGGAAAGAAUGAGGGUGGAGAUCCAUAAACCCCAAGGAGCAAGACCCUCGAUCUUACAACCCAAGAUCCUGAACUUUGACAAUACAAGAUCCUCUAGAAACCGUCGGGAGAUAGGAUCCUUGAUACCGACAUCCACUCCCUCUUGGGGUGCAAGUCGCUCGUUUAGAGCUCCCAACGAGCGAGCUCAUGCAACCUAUGAUCCUGAUGAAACCUUCGUUACGCCAAUCACAAAGGAUCAUGAUAACUUCAUGAAAUACUAAUGCUUUUGACACUAACUCUAGGAUCUUGAUAUAGGUUUAAGCCCGAUAAUGGUUAACGAGCUUCAGCAAUUAAGACAAUGAACUCAAGCGUGCCCGGAGUAGUCUAACCUAUAUCGAAAGUAUCCCCUACAAGCCACUGGAUCUCAAGAGUUUCUCCCGUAAGCUGAUACCGAUGCCCCAAAGCGCUUCCAAACACCUAGCAUGAAGCCUUAUGUGUUGGUUUAGGUGUCUAAGCCAAUAACUAUAAUUGGUAUAUAAUUGAAUUGAUAGUAGCACGAUCCGUUUAGGUUGCCUUCACUCUUGCAACUUGAAAAAAUGACUUUUGGAGAGAAGUUGAAUUUUUUAUUUGGAAUAAUAAAUUGAUAUGCAUGAUUUAUUAAAAUAUUAUGAAAUAAUAUAUUAAUUAGAAAUCAUGUUAUUUAAUUAAUAUUUAAUAAGAAAUAAUUUGGAAUUAUUUUUUGGAUUAAAGGAAUUAAUUAAAAGUAUAGGGGCUGUUUCGCAAUUAAUUGAUAGUUGCGAAAUAAAGCUCUUGGACUCCUUAGAUAGGAGUGGACGAAAAUUAUAGGGAGGCCCUAUAAGUUUUCGUCUAAGGCUUCUAGAUGAGGAGUUCAUGGGCUGCUUAGGCCUUAAGUAGGAAAUUAGGGUUUCCACCAGCAAACCCUAGCUUUUGACUAAGAAACCUCAAGUAUAAAAGGAGCCUAACCCUUUGGAUUCUCAGCCACUUGCUUUUAACCCUAGCACAGUCGAAAUUCUGGUGCUAUCUACACCUUUCUCCUCUCAUCCUCUUGCAAACAGUGUUUGUAAGCCAUUAGAGGUGUCAUAUUUGAGGCACUUGCUCUCAAGAGUUCAAGAUCUACAACAAUUAAUUGUUAUUACUACAUAACAAUUGAGCUAUGUAUAUAAACCCUAUUAUUAGGUUAAUUUCAAUUUUAUAGAUUCAUAUUAGGGUUUCUCUUUUGUAUUCGAGUUUGCAUGUUCAACUAGUGAAAACCUAGAUCCAAAGUUUGUAGGGUUGCAUGAACACAAGGGAUUUGUAGUUAUGCUCAGAACUCAUCAGUGGUAUCAGAUACAAGGCUGUUUGUGACAUCCCCAAAAUCACGGCCAGAAAAGACCGUUUUCAAUUAUGCUUUUAAAAUAAUUUUAAGAGUAAAUCCUUUUGAUUUAAAAGAGUUGGGGAAUUUGUUCCCAAAACAAAAUAUGAUAAAAUAAAGUUUAUCAAAGCAUUUCAUCAAGAGAUGCAUUUUUCAUUAUAUAACAAUAUUCGGGNGGAUGUCAUGUUCCGAUACAGACCAUAAAGCAUAAACGAUAACAUUACAAGUCAUUCAACAAAUAUAUACAUAUACAGACUUGUAAACAAAACAACUCGAUGAUUCAUCCAUCUUACGCCCUUGCGCCACUUCUUGUAAUACAAAUAAAACUGAGUGGGUCAGGCUUGGGAGCCUGGUGAGCAUAUAGGGUUUUCAACCCACAAUAAAUAAAUUAUAUUUAAUUUCACCAACCAAUCACUAUCCCGAUUACCCAUUCCCGUUAUCCUCACUUUACGUCCCUAAAACAACAUCUAUCUCAAGGGACUUAAUCUAGGAUUUUCAUCGGGACGGACAUUACCGCAAAAGGGGCUUCCUUAACAAUAAAUGUCCUAAAGGUUAUGAGUCUGCUAGCGUACACAACACCUACAGGUUAUGAGCCUGCUAGCGUUCCACAUGACUAUCUAGAAAGAGUCCAUGGUCGUUAUCCAUACUCCGCUGAAUAACUAGAUGAACAACAACAACAAUGAGGCCUCUCAUCUGUUUAUUAUACACGAACUAUCAACCCAUGUUCUACCCAACAUACUAGUAGAUAAAAAUAUGCAUUUUUAUACAUAGUUUAAAACCUGUAUAGCAUGUUCAAUCAAUAUCUAUUCCACACAACAGAUGAGGCACACACACAUAACACGUAUUUCAUAGAGAAUAAAUCAUAUCUAUGAGAUAGAAUAAAGUGAAUAUACUUUCACACAUAUAACAACAAAAUAUACACAUAACACGUAUAUCGUAUAAAAUACUUCAUAGUUAUGCGUUAGAAGAAAGUAACUACACACUCAUGCAUAUAAACAACAAUAUACUUAUUACACUCAAACCAUACUUGUAUUAUUAUCGUGUUUAUGAAAGGUAGUAUACACUCACUUGAUCAGAAGAUGAUUAGACAGCACUACGGCUUGUAGACGUAGUAUCUCUCCGUAGAUCUGGAAGAUCUUCACAAAAAUCGAAUUUCUCGCGGGCAGAGCUUAGGCUCGGGAAUCACGCUCUUCGAGAUUCUCGGGGCUUCGGAUCUUGCUUCGGGAGUCGAGAAUGAUACCGGGGCUUCGGGGUACUUCUGGCACGCAAAUCGAGGUAAAACGAGAGAGAGAAGAGAGAAAAUAGCAACCGUAAAAGGAUGGCCCUUCAAAUCUAUUUAUAGGGCAAAUUUGGCCCUUGCCACGACGUGGCAACCUUUUUCGACGUCGUGGGCUUGGUCGUCACUACAUGCGUCAUCCCAAGUUGCGUCUGGGGGCCUCCCGGAGGUGUCAGGAGAUUUGCCACGUCGUGGCACUGCUUGCCACAUCGUGGUCUCUGACACAGCUUUGGGGUUCGCACCCCGAACUUCAGAAAUUCAUAAGUUUCGCAUACGAACUCCGUUUUCAACGUUCUUUAUAUCGACGCGAAGGUGAGAUUAUGCUCUACAACUCUCGUUUAGACUCCAUUGGCUAAUUUUUAAUGGAUUUUUAAUAUAUUAUAAGUAUAUUACUUAUAUAGUAUUUUUAGUAGGCCGGGACAGGAAAACGUUGUUUGAAAUUCAUAACUCCUUCAUCUGAACUCCGUUUUCGUCUGUCUUUUUAUCGUUGGACUACUAUCAAUGAGAUCUUCAAUUCUCAUUUAGAAAUUUUUGGCUAAAUAUCACUCGAUCUCUAUUUCGAGUAUUCGGGUUGCAUACCGCUAAGUCGAAACUUCGAAAAAUCAUAACUUCCUCAUACGAAGUCAGAGUUGGGCGUUCUUUUCAUGCACGCUCUCGGUUUAAGGAACUAUACAACAUUUUCUUAGAUCACUAAGGCUAAAUACCACACUAACGUAAAUUUCACUUUUUACGUCAUUCAGCGUUACCGGUUCUAUCGCGAAACUUCGACAGGUCUUAACUUCUUCGCUAUAACUCGGAUUUUGGCAUUCGUUAUAUAUUCGGAAACCUCAUUUCGACCACUACAACUUUAUGUAAAGAUAUCGGACUUAUCUCAUACUUUAAUUUUGACGCUUAUUUUAUUCUUAAUUAAUCAAAUCACAUAAUUAAGCAAUUAAGCACAAAGCACAUAAUACUCAAAUAAUACAUUCUUAUUAUUUCAAAACGGGUUACAAAGGUUAACCUAGACUAUUAUAUCAACAUUAACGACAAGCCCAGAAACACAGGCGUUACAAUUCUCUCCACCUUAGAAUGAUUCCGUCCCUAGAAUCACACAUCAACAAACAACUGCGGGUAGCGACUCAUCAUGUCACUCUCCGUUUCCCAGGUGAGAUUCGGCCCAUUCGUGUGUUUCCAUCGGACAAGCACUAACUCGACCAACUUGCGUCGUAACUUCUUAGUCUUUUGGUCAACGAUUGCCUCUGGUUCUUCAAUCAACCUUUUGUUGUCAUCGAUUCUCAACUCCAAAAGUGGAAUCAUGUCGGGAACUUCUCCCGUGAACUUCCUCAAAUAACACACAUGAAAAGUGUUAUGAAUUCCAUUCAGUUCUUCUGGUAGUUCGAGCUUGUAAGCUUGGUUCCCAAUUCUUUGAAGAACUUUAAACGGUCCAAUAAACCUUGGACUUAACUUUCCCCUUUUACCAAAUCUUAUAAGUCCCUUCCACGGCGAGACUUUAAGCAAAACCGAAUCUCCAACUUCAAAAGUCAUCGGUCUUCGCUUUUUGUCAGCAUAGCUCUUUUGACGAUCCUGAGCUGCUAACAUUCUUUCCCUAAUUAUUUUCAACUUUUCAGCAGUUUGAUGGACUACCUCCGGUCCCAUAAACUACUUUUCCCCAGCCUCAAGCCAACAAGACGGCGUACGACACUUCUGUCCAUACAAAGCUUGAUAAGGUGCCAUCUUAAUGCUCGAGUGAAAACUAUUAUUAUAGGAAAAUUCUACCAAAGGUAAAUGUUCAUCCCAGUUACCUAGGAAUUCCAGGGUACAUGCUCUCAGCAUAUCUUCAAGUGUUUGUAUCGUUCUUUCACUCUGACCAUCAGUCUGCGGAUGGUAAGCUGUACUUAAACACAACUUGGUACCCAAUUCCUCUUGUAGACUUUUCCAAAACCUUGAGGUGAAACGGCUAUCACGAUCCGAUACAAUCGUUAACGGAACACCGUGAAGCCUCACAAUUUCCUUCACGUAAGAAUUCGCAAGCUUUUCCAUAGACCAUUUCUCCUUGGCUGCUAUGAAAUGCGCACUCUUAGUGAAUCGAUCAACGACCACCCAAAUCAUGUCGUGACCAUUCUUUGUUCUGGGCAGUUUAGUGACAAAAUCCAUAGCAAUGUCUUCCCACUUACCCAUAGGCACAGGCAAUGGUUCUAAACUCCCGUACGGUUUCUGAUGUUGUGUCUUGACUCUCGCACAAGUCACACACUCGGCCACAUACUUUGCAACAUCAAGCUUCAUCGUCGGCCACCAGUAGUAGGGUUUCAGGUCCCUAUACAUUUUAGUGCUACCCGGAUGAAUCGAGUACAUGGUCUUGUGAGCUUCUUCCAUCAGAAGAUCUCUGACUCCUCCUGUCUUAGGUAUCCAAAUCCGAUCUUGGAACACCUUCAGUCCAUGACUGUUUACACCGAACACCAACGUUUUGCCCAAACGUUCCUCCUUUCUGUCAUUCUUCUCAGAAGCUUCGCUCUGAGCUUUCUUUAUACUUUCCAAAAUAGUUGAGACAACUUCAAUUCUCAACGCUCUUGGCCUUUUCCUUUCGGGAUUGACUUUCCGACUGAGAGCAUCAGCAACAACAUUAGCUUUACCGGGGUGGUAAAGUAUCUCGCAGUCAUAGUCUUUAAGUAAUUCUAGCCAGCGUCGUUGCCUCAUAUUCAAUUCUUUCUGAUUAAAGAGGUAUUGGAGACUCUUAUGAUCAGUGAAAAGUUUGCACUUCGUGCCAUAGAGGUAAUGCCUCCAUAUUUUCAGAGCGAAAACUACCGCUGCCAACUCCAAAUCAUGAGUCGGGUAAUUCUUUUCAUGCUCUUUCAGCUGUCGAGACGCAUAUGCUAUCACCUUUUCUCUUUGGGUCAAAACACAACCCAAUCCAACACCAGACGCAUCGCUAUAAACAGCGAAGUCUUCAACUCCAUCGGGUAGAGAAAGUAUCGGUGCCUCGCAUAGCUUCUUCUUUAACUUCUCGAAUGCUUCUUUAUGCUUCUCACUCCAAGCAUAAGUAGCUCCUUUGUGGGUCAAAGCUGUCAAUGGAGUAGCAAUCGAAGAAAAGCCUUGGAUAAACCUUCGGUAAUAUCCGGCUAAUCCUAAAAAGCUUCGAAUCUCCGUGGGACUUUUCGGUUGUUCCCACUUCGUCACAGCUUCGAUCUUCGCUGGAUCAACCAUUAUCCCUUCUUGGUUGACCACGUGACCCAAGAAUUGGACUUCACGAAUCCAAAAAUCACAUUUGGAGAACUUAGCAUACAGCUUCUCCUUCUUCAAGACUUCUAACACUUCUCGCAAGUGUCUGCCAUGCUCCUCCUGGCUUUUCGAGUAAAUCAGAAUGUCGUCUAUGAACACUAUCACGGAUUUAUCAAGGAACGGGUUACAAACCCUAUUCAUCAAAUCCAUGAACGCUGCUGGAGCAUUGGUUAGUCCAAACGACAUAACCAAGAACUCGUAGUGUCCAUAUCUAGUUCUGAAUGCAGUCUUCUCGAUAUCUUGCUCUCUUACUUUCAGCUGAUGAUAUCCUGACCUAAGAUCGAUCUUCGAGAAAUAGCUCGAACCUUGCAAUUGAUCAAACAGGUCAUCAAUCCUCGGCAACGGAUAUCUAUUCUUUAUUGUUGCCUUGUUCAGCUCUCUGUAAUCGAUGCACAUUCUCAUACUUCCAUCUUUCUUCUUUACAAAUAACACCGGAGCUCCCCAGGGCGAUGAACUAGGUCUAAUGAAACCUUUGUCCAAUAACUCCUGAAGUUGCAUCAUUAGCUCCUUCAUCUCCGUCGGUGCUAAUCGAUAAGGUGCUUUUGCAAUUGGCGUUGUUCCGGGAAACAAGUCAAUACGAAAUUCCACUUGUCGAUCAGGCGGUAAUCCAGGAAGAUCUUCGGGAAAUACUUCCGGAUAAUCACACACAACAGGAAUAUUGUGCAUCACCUUCUUUUCCUUCUUAGCAUCGAUCACGAAUGCUAAGUAUGAUGUACACCCCUUGGUCAAACAUUUUCUGGUUUUCAUCAAUGAAAUGAUUCCAGAAUUUACUUUGCGUUUAUCUCCAUACACCAUAAACGAUUCCUUCCCAAACGGGUUUACUUUGACUAUCUUCUUUCUGCACAAUAUCUCGGCAUCAUUGGCGCUAAGCCAAUCCAUUCCCAAAACGAUGUCGAAACCAUUAAGUUCGAUAGGCAAUAAUUCCUCGUGGAACUUAUUCCCAUUUAAAUCAAUUAAGAUGUUUUUCAUGCGAUAGCUAACAGGUACAAACUUGCCACUAGCAACUUCGACUAACAAAGCAUUAUCUAGUCUAACAACAGGCAAAGCUAGUUUUCUACCAAAUUCAUGCGAUAUAAAGGAGUAGUUGGCUCCAGAAUCAAAUAAAAUUUGGGCAGGCAAUUCGUUAACGAGAAAGGUACCUGAAGCGACAUCAGCUUCAUCUUUGCCAGCUUCCAGUGUCAUCUGGAAUGCUCUUGCUUUUGGCUUUGGCGGAAUAUUGGGUCUUGCUGCUUCCUUCUUCUUAGGGCAGUCCCUCGACAUAUGACCCUCCUCACCACAACCAUAGCAAACUUUCUUGGUGAGAGUGCACUCAUUGGCAUAGUGCCAUGGCUUCCCACAUUUGAAACAUGUGGUCACUACCUCACAUUUUCCAUUAUGCUUCCUCUUACAUUUGUCGCACCAUUUUACUUCGCCUCCUCUUCCUCUCGAACUAGAUUUCGAGAAUUUACUUUUUUUGUUGGACCCUGAAGGCCCAUCGAACUUCCUCUUUUCACCAACAUCAGACCUCUCCAGACCCUUCUCCUUGAUCUAGGUCUCAACAUUCUUCGCAGCCCAGAUGGUGACUUUCAAAGUAGUUGCUUGCUUAACCAUUGGACCAAAGUCCGCUGGUAAUCCGAGAGCAAACUUGUUGACCUUGGAGAGUUCUGUUGGUACUAGAUAUGGAAUAAGCUUCAUCUUCUUGGUGAAACUUGUAGCGUAUUCAGUAACGCUCAAUCUUCCCUUCUUCAAAUUCUGAAACUCAUUAUUGAUUUCCAGAAGGUCCUGCUCUGAGCAGUAUUGCAACUUUAGUUGCACAACAAAGUCUUCCCAGGACAUCUUACUUGCUUCUCCCUUGAGCAUUGAAUCAGCAUGAAGCUUCCACCAACUCAAUACUCCAGACUUUAACAGAGGAACCGAGAGAGCGGUCUUUUAUCUGUUGCUACAUUCGCAACUUUUGAACAUUGUCUCCAUCUCAGAGAUCCAAUUUAUAACUUCCAGCGGCGUCGGACUUCCGGAUAGACAUGGUGGUUUGGAUGCCAUGAAAUCCUUGUACUUGCAUCCUCUCCCAUCAUUUCCUCCAUUCAGGUUGUUUUGCCUAACUAUCGGCAGGUUGGCUUGACCAACAGUCCCGUUGUAGUUCCCUUCUUCAGACUGCUCGGGAAUCUGUUCAGGUUCCACAAUGGGUACAACAGGUUCGUCCCCAUUUCCAUGCAACAUCUGUCGCAUUUCUUCCAUUUGCUCGGCUAACAUAGCCCGAAUCAUGGCCUGCACCCCAGCCAUGGUGAUUGGUUCUGGUGCAGUAGCUACAACAGGUGCUUGCUCAAUCAUAGGCCGUUGAGGCUGUUGAUUUCUGUUUUCAUUUGCAUUUCCAACUCCACUUCUUGUUCUUGCCAUUCUUGAUCUACACACCGAAUAAGGUGACAUUUAGAUCCUUAUCCAUGAUAGAUAUUACAAUCAUCCUUAUCACUUUCGAAACGUUUACAUGCUAGUCCUAAUAUCGUAGACGUACACUUAGAAUCCUACACACAUAAGGUUUCCCGAUCCGGUCGGCAACAGACCAUAGAUCCGAACAAAUAAUAUCAUAUAUGGAAACAUAUAACAUUUAGCACAUAAAGACAUUUUAGGCAACUUUCCUAAAAUAUACUAGUGCUCGUGUCUAUAAUUUAACAGACACACACCUCAAAACCUUCACUUAGCAUUUUAAGUUUAAGUCUAGAAAUCCUUCAAAUUCCUAGUUGGCUUAAACUAAUGCUCUGAUACCAACUGUGACAUCCCCAAAAUCACGGCCAGAAAAGACCGUUUUCAAUUAUGCUUUUAAAAUAAUUUUCAGAGUAAAUCCUUUUGAUUUAAAAGAGUUGCGGAAUUUGUUCCCAAAACAAAAUAUGAUAAAAUAAAGUUUAUCAAAGCAUUUCAUCAAGAGAUGCAUUUUUCAUUAUAUAACAAUAUUCGGGAUGUCAUGUUCCGAUAAACAGACCAAAAGCAUAACGAUAACAUCACAAGUCAUUCAACAAAUAUAUACAUAUACAGACUUGUAAACAAAACAACUCGAUGGUUCAUCCAUCUUAUGCCCUUGCGCCACUUCCUNNNNNNNNNNNNNNNNNNNNNNNNNNNNNNNNNNNNNNNNNNNNNNNNNNNNNNNNNNNNNNNNNNNNNNNNNNNNNNNNNNNNNNNNNNNNNNNNNNNNNNNNNNNNNNNNNNNNNNNNNNNNNNNNNNNNNNNNNNNNNNNNNNNNNNNNNNNNNNNNNNNNNNNNNNNNNNNNNNNNNNNNNNNNNNNNNNNNNNNNNNNNNNNNNNNNNNNNNNNNNNNNNNNNNNNNNNNNNNNNNNNNNNNNNNNNNNNNNNNNNNNNNNNNNNNNNNNNNNNNNNNNNNNNNNNNNNNNNNNNNNNNNNNNNNNNNNNNNNNNNNNNNNNNNNNNNNNNNNNNNNNNNNNNNNNNNNNNNNNNNNNNNNNNNNNNNNNNNNNNNNNNNNNNNNNNNNNNNNNNNNNNNNNNNNNNNNNNNNNNNNNNNNNNNNNNNNNNNNNNNNNNNNNNNNNNNNNNNNNNNNNNNNNNNNNNNNNNNNNNNNNNNNNNNNNNNNNNNNNNNNNNNNNNNNNNNNNNNNNNNNNNNNNNNNNNNNNNNNNNNNNNNNNNNNNNNNNNNNNNNNNNNNNNNNNNNNNNNNNNNNNNNNNNNNNNNNNNNNNNNNNNNNNNNNNNNNNNNNNNNNNNNNNNNNNNNNNNNNNNNNNNNNNNNNNNNNNNNNNNNNNNNNNNNNNNNNNNNNNNNNNNNNNNNNNNNNNNNNNNNNNNNNNNNNNNNNNNNNAUAAAAGGAAAAAAGCUCUGCAGAUCUGGAAGAUCUUCACAAAAAUUGAACUUCUCGCGGGCAGAGCUUCGGCUCGGGAAUCACGCUCUUCGGGAUUCUCAUGGCUUCGGAUCUUGAUUCAGGAUACGAGAAUGAUACCGGGGCUUCGGGGUACUUCUGACACGCAAAUCGAGGUAAAACGGGAGAGAGAAGAGAGCAAAUAACAACCCUAAACAGUUGGCCCUUCAUGCGUCAUCCCAAGCUGAAUCUGGAGGCCUCCCGGAGGUGUCAGGGGAUUUGCCACGUCGUGGCACUACUUGCCACAUCGUGGUCUCUGACACAGCUUUGGGGUUCGCACCCCGAACUUCAGAAAUUAAUAACUUUCGCAUACGAACUCCGUUUUCGACGUUCUUUAUAUCGAUGUGAAUGUGAGAUUAUGCUCUACAACUCUCGUUUAGACUCCAUUGGCUAAUUUUUAUUGGAUUUUUAAUAUAUUAUAAGUAUAUUACUUAUAUAGUUUUUGUAGUAGGCCGGGACAGGAAAACUCUGUUCGAAAUUCAUAACUCCUUCAUCUGAACUCCGUUUUCGUCUGUCUUUUUAUCGUUGGACUACUAUCAAUGAGAUUUCAAUUCUCAUUUAUAAAUUUUUGGCUAAAUAUCACUCAAUCUCUAUUUCGAGUAUUCGAGCUGCAUACCGCUAAGUCGAAACUUCGAAAAAUCAUAACUUCCUCAUACGAAGUCAGAUUUAGGUGUUCUUUUCAUGCACGCUCUUGGUUUAAGGAACUAUACAACAUUUUCUUAGAUCACUAAGGCUAAUUAUCGCACUAACGUAAAUUUCACUUUUUACGUCAUUUAGCGUUGCCGGUUCUGUCGCGAAACUUCGACAGGUCAUAACUUCUUCGUUAUAACUCGGAUUGUGGCAUUCUUUAUAUAUUCGGAAACCUCAUUUCGACCACUACAACUUUAUGUAAAGAUAUCGGACUUAUCUAAUACUUUAAUUUUGAUGCUUAUUUUAUUCUUAAUUAAUCAAAUCACAUAAUUAAGCAAUUAAGCACAAAGCACAUAAUACUCAAAUAAUACAUUCUUGUUAUUUCAAAACGGGUUACAAAGGUUAACCUAGACUAUUAUAUCAUCAUUAACGACAAGCCCAGAAACACAGACGUUACACUGUUUUUCAACUGAAUAUGAUGAAAUUGUGAAUAUUUCAAAGGAUAAGGGAGUAGACUCAUCAUUCUGUUCAUAGAACUUGACGAGUUCAUAUUGGAACUUGACGAGUUGGCAUCAACUCGACGAGGGCACUGCCUAUAGUAGACCAGUUGAGCUGUCAGAUCCCAGUUUUUUUGCUUUGGCAAUUCUUUCAUGGAUUGAUUAGGAUAAUUACCUUAAAUUCAUUUUAAUGGUUUAAAAUUGGAAAUUUUAUUAAGUAGUCUUGUAUCCUUAUCAUGAAUUCAUGAUUGGGUUAAAUUUUUAGAUAAAGAUAAAAUCAUUUUUUUAAUUUAAUUAUUAAAAAUUUAACAUAGUAUAUUUGAAAAGUUUUAAAAAUACACCAUUGGUUUCGAAAUUUAAAAUUUAAAUUGAAUAGUUUAAUUUUUGGAAAUUCUAAAUUUUUGAACCUUAGUAUUUCUAAUGUUAAAAUACGCCCUUAUAUAAAUAGUAAAAAUAAAAGUUAAUAUUUAUAUAUUUGUAUAAAAAGAGGUCAGUCUGACCGUUAGUAGGCCUCAUUCACGAAGCCGAUAUAUAAGGGUGUAUAAGGAAACUGCCUAUAAAAUGGUGGUUGAAUGGGUGUCCAUUGUCACCCACCGCUUCCUUGAUUGGUGGAGGGUCGUUAGCCGCACGGGUUUGAUAGGACACUGAAGUCUCAUUAAUAAGUAUAAUGAAAUAAAAAAAAAAGUUACUAAAUAUUUUAAUAAAAUUCCCAAUCUUAGUUACUUUAGGAAUAUGUGAAUUUGAUACUAAUCCAUGAAAUUGCACAUUCCACUUUGGUGGAGCGUGUGUGGUUAACCGGCACAGUAAUAUGUGUUAGGUCCAGAAGGUGUUGCGUCUUGGGCUCGCUAUUUAGUCCAUUUAGUCUCCGGUAUGGGCGUGUCCAUCCGUGAGUUAUUUUGUAGGGUUUUACAUUUAUAGAUGCUUGCAUGCAUCCUAGAACGUAGGAUUUGGAGAGAUAAUUUAAUAGCGUUCUUUGUUCUUAUCUUUUGUAACCCUAAUAUCCUCUAUAGCGGAAGUUCUUCAUCGAGCUCUGCUGAGGAUUGAUUUAUUUUGAAUCAUUCGACACAUUCAGAUUCAUUCUUGAGUUUUACAUUACUGUUUUUGCUUUCGUGAUUUACCUGUUAUAAGAUCUAAACGAUCUAAGAGUUUGAUAAACUCAUCAACAUGGACUAAUAAAGGGUGUCAAUGGGUAACUCAUAAAUUAUCAUUGAUUAAUGGAGCGUGUGUGGUUAACCGACACAUUAAUUAGGUGAUAAAUGACAUCGAGAGUACCAAGCUAAUUUGCAUGGUUACUCACACCUUGUUUGUGAUCCUAUGUAUCCCAGUCACAAAUGGAAAGGGCAUAAUCAAGAUUAAACAUGUCAUUGAAUAGUUCAAUGAAUCUCAAAAGAUCUAGGAAUUUCAUUUUAUUCCUAAUUUGUUUAAAUUUCAUUUUCUAUGGUGAAAUUGGUAAAUCGUCAUUUACCAACCUUUAAAUAGUUCACAAUUGGAUUACGACAUCCCUCUUGUGAAUUGUAAAUUAUAUAGUUGGAUCCUAGCCUUAAUAUUUCAUUUGGGUGUUAUAUUAAGGAUUUGCUUAUCUAAUCGAAACUUUUUAUUUCUUCUUUUGUAUAUGUCAACUUCCAACAACGCUUGUGCUCCUCCAACCACUUCUCGCUCUUGAGCAUCUGCUCAAAAGUCACCUUUGAUGGAUCCAAUUAUAAUGAUUGGAUUCACAACAUCAAGAUGGCUUGGUGAUUGGAGGACAAGGAAUAUGUUCUACAAAAAGAGCUGACCGAGAUCGAUGAAACAAAAGCUACUCUUGAAGAAAGUAUUGUGCAUCAUGGUUGCCACUGUGACUCUCAAGCUUCAGAGGUUCUAUGAGGACUAUUGGCCAUAUGAGAUGAAUAAGAACUUGAUGGAAAAGUACAAUUAACGAGCUCAUCAAGAGAGGUAUGAAAUAGUGAAGUCCCUCACAACUAGCAAGAUGAAGGACAUAGAAUCCUUCACGAAUCACUUGCAACGUAUGCAAUGAUAUGUGGAUCGUCUCUUGAAGCUCAAUGUGAACUUUGAUGAGGAAUUGGCUAUUGACGUAGUCUUGCACUCAUUGCCUUCCUGUUAUGAUCAGUUUGUUAUGACUUGUCAUCUGAACAAGGAGGAAGUCACAUUGAGUCAACUCCAAAGCUUGCUGAGAACUGCUGAGAGUAGAAUCAAGGGAAAGAGUAUUAAGUUCACUCCUCCUACUGUUGCUACUGCUCUCGUCUUGGCUAUUGGUUAAGGGAAGGGGAAGAAGAGGAAAGCUCCCUCAAAACAGAACUGGAAGGGAAAAUCUCAAGCCUGGUCGUCUAGCAAUGUCCCUAAAGGAAAAUCUAGUUCUAAAUCUCCCCUGCCUCUGAUCCUAAAGAGGCUACCUGCAUUUACUGCAAUGACAAGGGGCAUUGGAAGUGAAGCUUCCCCAAGUACUUGCAAGAUAUAAAGGAUGGCAAGAUCAAGCCAACCUCAGUAGGUAUUUACACUAUUCAAUCUAAAAACUCAUCACAGUCUAAUUCUUGGGUCCUUAAUAUAGGAUGUGGUUUUCACAUUUAUUCUGACUUGCAGGGGCUAAGAAGAAGUGAUUAUACGGAGCAUGGGAAGUGUUGGAUAAGGUGUCUAAUUCCAUAACUAUUUCUAGUAUGUACUUGACCCGACCCGACAUGGUCCAUUUGGGUUGCGUGGCACCAUGCAUUGGACAAACUAAAUGAGAGAAAUAACACUUAUGGUUUAUUAAUAUAUUAUAAGUUCUAAUAUAUUAAUAAUAUAAUUUAAUUAGUUUGAUCAAGAAUUAAUUUAGAAUUAAUUAAGUGAUCAAAAGAGAACUAAUUAAAUAUAUGGGUUGAUUAUGUAAAUCAUCUAUAAAUUAUAUAGUUGGCUAAGAGGCUCCAUGAAUUAUCAAAUUGGGUUCCACCCAUAGGAUGCUCCAUGGAGUUAAUCCAUAGAACAUGGAAAUGAAGAGUCAUGUUACAUUAGGGUUUACCUAAUGCAACACACUAUAUAAAGCUCAUUUUUCUCCCAAAAUCGGCUACACAUGCAUACUUGAGGGCUAGAGCCGAUUUUUGAGUGUUAUACUUUCUCUCCAAGUUACUCCAUAGCAUUUGGUGUUGUGUGAAUCAUUUGAGGCAUCAAACUUGGGGUUCUAGGCUCACAAGGUUUCAAGGAAUCAAAACCAAAAACAAGGUAUGUUAUGCUAUCUUUCAUUUAAGUUAAAAUGUUCCCCAUGUAUGCUACAUAGGAUCAUGAACCUUGGAAAUCAAUUUUGCAUAAUCUUAGACAAACAUCGAUCCAAGGUUUAUUAGGGUUGCAUGUACACUUAGGAAGUGUUAUAAUGCUCAAAACCCAUCAGUGGUAUCAGAGCCUAGGCUUGUUUGUUUGUUAUUUGUGCAAAAAUGUGUUAAAAAUCGAAACUACUUGAUGUCUGAGCAGUGGACUCGCCGGGCCAUGACAGCAAAUUUUCGACUUAUGUUGCUGGAAAUGGACUAGAAGCAUUACCCUAAACUAUUUUGGUGUUUUAAAACUUGUUUUAGAUGGUGUAAUGUUUAUGCUAAUCCAUUUUCAAUGGCAAUUAUAAAAAAUUACAAGUUUUAUGAGUAAUUUAUGAUUCUUGAAUGUUCAUAUUCAUGUUCUUGAACUUAUGAAGAUUAGAUGAUCAUAGGAAUUGUUUGUAACCUACUUGGUAGUUUAAUUCAUGAUCACUAUGUGUUUUAAUGGAUUCCAUAACAUGUCCUCAAGUUAUGGAAAACCAAAGGUCACACUUUAUUAAAAACCAUUAAAAGAACACAAGGGUUAUAAAAAUGAAGAUUCUUCAUUUUUAAUACUCAAUUAAUUCAUAAGUUAUAAGAAAUGAAAAGUUUUGAAAGUUUACAAAACUUGCUCUCAAGUUUUGGAACAAGUAAAGUCAUGAUUAAAACUUUAGUUCCAAGCCUUAGAAUUUUAUAUGUUAAAAUUCAACCCUUAUACUUUAUUAUAUUNUUAUAUAUAUAUGUAUAAGAACAAAGUCGUCUUACCGCUAGUACGCCUCAUUCACGAAGCCGGUCUAUAAGGGGGGUAUAAGGUUGUUGCCUAUAAAAUGGCAACUUAAUGGGUGUCCACUCUCACCCACCACUUCCUUGAUCGGUGGAGGGUCGUUAGCUGAACGGGUAGGACAAGGACUUAUAAAUUAUCAUUAAACGUAUAAUGAAUAUUAUGAAGUAACUAAAUGUUUUAUUAAAAAUCUCUAUCUUAGUUACUUUAGGAAAAUGUGAAUAAGGUGCUAAUCCAUGAAAUUACACUUUACACUUUGUUUAAGUCGUUAGUGGAGCGUGUGUGGUUAACCGACACACUAACUUGAACUUAACAAGGUAGGUAAAGGGUGACUGAAAGUCUAUUAUAAGUCGANGCGUGUGUGGUUAACCGGCACAUCGAUUGAGUGAUAAACUUUAAGGGUACCAAGUGAUUUGCAUGGUUACUUCACACCUCGUUUUGUGAUCCUCAGUAUCCCAUUCACAAAACUUGGAGGGCACACUCGAGAUUGAAACAUGCCUUUGAAAAUUUCAUUGAAUCUCAAAAUAAUCUAGGAAUUUCUAAGAACCAAAUUAAAAACUUAAUAUUCUAAUAUUUCAUUUUGGUGGAAAUUGGUGAAUCGUCAUUCACCUACCUUUCAAAUAUGUUAUUACUUAGAUUACGACAUACCUCUUCUAAGUAUAAUAUAUUGUGAUUGGGUCCUAGCCUUAAUAAUACAUUUGGGUGUUUUAUUAAGAACUAAAUUAAUAUCUAAACUAAUCGUGUCUUUCUUUUUACUCAGAUGUCUUCAAACAAUGCUGCUUCUGGCUCUAAUCCUAAUGGCUCCUUUUCCCUUAUGAACUUGUGUGGGAAAGUCACUUUUGAUGGAUCCAACUUCAAUGAAUGGAUCAAAAAUAUCAGGAUGAUUCCUCGCUACAAGGACAAGGAAUAUGUCCUCGAUAAGGAGCUUAAAGAGAUUGAUGAGACCACUACAACUCCCCAGGAGAUCGCUGACUUCCGAGCACAUGAAAGGGAUGCCACCAAAGUGGCAUGCAUCAUGAUGGCCUCCAUGACAGCAGAACUCCAAAAGUCCUAUGAGGACUUCUAGCCUUUUGAAAUGCACCAAGACUUGAUGGAAAGAUACCAUCAAAGUGUUCGACAAGAGAGGUAUGAAGUCAUCUCCUCCAUGAUAACAACCCGAAUGAAGGAUGGUGAACCCAUCACUGGCCACAUGUAGAAAAUGCAAAGAUUUGUGGACCGUCUGCUGAAGCUUAAUGUGAACUUCCCCGAGGAGCUUGCAAUAGAUAUCAUUUUGCACUCCUUACCCUCGUGCUAUCAUCAAUUCGGCAUGACAUAUCACAUGAGUAAGGUUCUAGGACUCCUAAAGACUGCGGAAAGUGGUCUUAAGGGUAAGUCGGUUGUUACUCCUACUUCUAUCAACUCCGCCCCUAUCUUGGCAAUCGGGAAAAGGGAAGGGUAAGAAGAGGAAGAGCCCCUCGAAGGGUACCAAGGGUAAGACCCUUGAAGGCUCCUCUUCAAAUGGAACCAAGAAAGGUUUCGUCACUCUUUCUGUUGACCCAAAAGAGACUGAAUGCUUCUAUUGCCAUGAAAAGGCACAUUGGAAGCGGAACUGCCCAAAGUACCAGCAACAUGUGAAGGAUGGGAAAGUUAAACCCAACUUUGCAGGUAUUUACAAUAUCUUAUCUAAUAACUCACUAUAUUCUAACUCUUAGGUCCUUGAUACCGGUUGCGGUAUUCAUAUAUGUUCUGAUUUGCCGGGACUAAGAAGAAGUGAGAAUGUGGAGCAUGGAAGAAUAAACUUGAUCAUGAGGAAUAUGGAAGCUUUACCUGUCACCAAGAUUGGAGUUUAUACUUUAUCGCUAAGUAGUGGGUUUAGUUUAGAUUUGAAUAUAUAUGUUGUUACUCGCCAGAAUUGGCAAGAAAUAUUAUUUCCUUUCAUGCAUUGUAUAAACAAGGUUUUACCUUUUCAUUUGAUAAUGAAGUUUGUUCAAUUAAUGCUUUCUUUAAUAAUUUUCUUUAUUUUAAAGCAUUACCUUGUGAUGGUGUGUAUGAAACUGUAUCUGUUGUAGAUAACCUAGGAAAUAAUGUAUUGUGUGUUGAUUCUGUUAAUGAUAAUAACUUGGAUAAAGCAUCAUUAUGGCAUUGUCGUCUUAGACAUAUAAGAAAGAAACGCAUACGCCAACUCCAAAAGGGUGGAGUCUUGGAAUCAUUUGACCUAAAGUCAGAUGAUAGUUGCGAAUCAUGCUUACAUGGAAAAUUGACAAAGUUUCCCUUCAUAUGUACUUGUGAGAGGGGUGAAGGUUUCUUGGAUCUCGUACACACAGAUGUGUGUGGACCCUUCAAACAUGCCGCAAGGGAUGCUAAUUGUUAUUAUUUGACUUUUACUAAUGAUUACAAUAGAUAUGGAUAUGUCUACUUAAUCAAGCAUAAGUCAGAGACUUUUGAAAGGUUUAAAGAAUUUAAAUAAGAAGUCGAGAAUCAAUUGGGCAGGAACAUUAUGAUGUUUCGAUCCGAUCGAGGUGGUGAGUAUCUUAGUUUAGAGUUCCUCCACUAUCUUAGGGAAUGUGGGAUUGUCUCACAAUUGACACCUCCCAGGACACCGCAGUUGAAUGGUGUAGCUGAGAGGCGUAAUCGAACCUUGUUGGAUAUGGUUUGUUCCAUGAUGAGUGGAGCUUCGCUACCAAUCUCAUUUUGGGGGUAUGCCUUAGAGACUGCCGCCUAUAUCCUUAAUCUAGUCCCUACAAAGAAAGUUGUCAAAAAUCCUCAUGAGAUAUGGACUGGUAAAGUACCCAAACUAGACCACAUCAAGAUUUGGGGUUGCGAGGCUUUCGUGAGACGUGAGACUCAUGAUAAGCUCGAACCUCGAAGUGAAANAGGUGUAUUUUCAUCGGCUACCCACAGAAAUCCUUUGGUUACCUCUUCUAUAGACCUAGUGAGAAUGUGGUCUUUGUAGCUAGGAGGGAUUUCUUUCGAGAAAGAGAGUUCAUAAGCUAAGGAAACAGUAAGAGGCAAGUUGACCUUGAAGAAAUUCAAGAGUCAAGUGGUGAAGGAACUUCAAACCCUAGCACUCAACAUGAGGAGGAAACUCCUGUUGAGCCAAUUGACAAGUUUGUACCUAUGAGGCGUUCCACGAGAGUUAGGAAAGCACCCGAGCAUUACUAUGGAUUCCAUAUUACUGCGGAAGGUGAUACACUUAUUAGUGAUGAGACACUAGUAGGGCUGGAUGAACCUAACAGUUACGCGGAAGCCAUGGCAGGCCCUGAGUCAGCCAAGUGGAAAGAGGAAAUGGACAUUGAGAUACAGUCCAUGUAUGACAAUCAAGUUUGGAACUUGGUUUACAAUGUACCAGGUCGUAAAAAUAUAGGGUGCAAAUGGAUCUUCAAGAAGAAGACCGAUUGCCGAUCGGUUCGUGAAGUCAUACUUGUAGAUAUAGUUAUUAGACUUAUCCAACUGGGAGACUGUUGGAUAAGGUGUCUAAGUCCAUAACUAUUUCUGGUAUGUACUUGACCCGACCCGACAUGGUCCAUUUGGGUUGCAUGGCACCAUGCAAUUGGAUAAACUAAAUGAGAGAAAUAACACUUAUGGUUUAUUAAUAUAUUAUAAGUUCUAAUAUAUUAAUAAUAUUAUUUAAUUAGUUUGAUCAAGAAUUAAUUUAGAAUUAAUUAAGUGAUCAAAAGAUAACUAAUUAAAUAUAUGGGUUGAUUAUGUAAAUCAUCCAUAACUUAUAUAGUGGGCUAAGAGGCUCCAUGGAUUAUCAAGUUGGGUUCCACCCAUAGGAUGCUCCAUGGAGUUAAUCCAUGGAUCAUGGAAAUGAAGAGUCAUGUUACAUUAGGGUUUACCUAAUGUAACACACUAUAUAAAGCUCAUGUUUCUCCCAAAAUUGGCUACACAUGCAUACUUGAGGGCUAGAGCCGAUUUUUGAGUGUUAUACUUUCUCUCCAAGUUACUUCAUAGCAUUUGGUGUUGUGUGAAGCAUUUGAGGCAUCACACUUGGGGUGCUAGGCUCACAAGGUUUCAAGGAAUCAAAAUCAACAACAAGGUAUGUUAUUCUAUCUUUCAUUUAAGUUAAAAUGUUCCCCAUGUAUGCUAGAUAGGAUCAUGAACCUUGGAAAUCAAUGUUGCAUGAAUCUUAGACAAACAUAGAUCCAAGGUUUAUUAGGGUUGCAUGUACACUUAGGAAGUGUUAGAAUGCUCAAAACCCAACAGGAAGAUGAACCUGAUUAUGGGAAAUAGGCGAUCGUCGUCUGUUACCAAGAUUGGGAUUUACUCUUUAGUGCUUAGUAAUGGGUUAAGUUUAGAUUUAAAUAAUUAUUUCUACUCGUUAGAAAUGAAAAGGAAUAUUAUUUCAUUUCAUGGUUUGUACAGACAAGGUUUUAAAUGUUCUUUUAAUAGUGAGAAUGGUUCUAUUAAUGCUUAUUAUAAUGGUGUAUUUUUUUUUGAAGCUUUACCUUGUGAUGGUAUAUAUGAAACUGUGAUGGUUGUAGACAAGUUAGGAAAUAAUGUGUUGCAUAUAGACUCGUAUAAUGGUUUAGAUAAAGCAUGCUUGUGGCAUUGUCAUCUUGGAAAUGUCAAUAAGAAGCGCAUUGCCCAACUCCAAAAGGAUGGAGUGUUGGAAUCAUUUGACCUUAGGUCGGAUGAUACAUGAGAAUCUUUUUUUGCUUGGAAAGAUGACUAAAUCACCUUUCACAAGUUCGUGUGAAAUAGGUGAGGGAUUAUUGGAUCUCAUACAUACCGAUGUGUGUGGGACCUUCAGAUCCACCACAAGGGAUACAAAUCGAUUUUAUGUGACUUUUACCGAUGAUUAUAGCAAAUAUGGAUAUAUCUACUUAAUCAAGCAUAAGUCAGAAAGUUUUGAAAAGUUCAAAGAUUUUAAACAUGAUUUCAAGAAUCAAUUAGGCAGGAAGAUCAAGAUGCUCAUAUCCGAUAAGGGAGGUGUGUAUCUUAGUAUCGAGUUCAACUACUACCUCAUGGAAUGUGGAAUUGUUUCACAAUUGACACCGACACCACAGCUUAAUGGUGUGGUUGAGAGGCGUAAUCGAACCUUGUUGGACAUGGUUAGUUCCAUGAUGAAUCAAGCUUCACUUCUGAUAUUGUUCUGGGGGUAUUCCUUAGAGACUCCCGCCCAUAUCCUUAAUCUAGUCCUGACAAAGAAGGUUGGCAAAACACGUCACAAGAUGUGGAUAGGGAAGGUUCCCUUGUUGGCAAAUAUCAAGGUUUGGGGUUGUGAAGCUUUCAUUAGAUGAGAGACUCACGACAAGCUUGAACCUCGAAGUGAGCGAUGUAUUUUCAUCGGCUAUCCACAUAAGUCCUUCGGAAACUUGUUCUACAGACCUAGUGAAAACGUUGUUUUCAUAUCACAAAGGGGAGUCUUUCGCGAGAGAGAGCUCAUAGAAAAAGAGGACAGUUGGAGCACAAUUGAUCCUGAAGAAAUUCAAGAGUCAAGCGAUGAAGGAACCUCUAACACUAGCGCUCAACCUAAGGAAUAGAUUCCUAUUGAACCAAUUGACGAGUCACUACCUCUUAGGCAUUCCGCUUGAGUUAGAAUGGCACCAGAGUUUUAUGGUUUCUAUAUUCCUACAGAUAGUGAUACGUUUAUCAAUGAUAGUACACUAGUAAAUUUGGAUGAGCAUUCUAACUACAAGGAAGCCAUGGUGGGCCCUGAGUCUGCUAAAUGGAAAGAGGCAAUAGACAACGAGAUCCAGUCCACGUAUGACAACCAAGUUUGAAAUUUGGUUGACAAUGUACCAAGUCGUAAGACAUUUGGGUGCAAAUGGAUCUUUGAGAAGAAGACCGACAUGGAUGGAAAAUUGCACACCUUCAAGGCUCAACUGGUUGUGAAGGGAUUUACUCAAACCCUAGGGGUUGACUAUGAUGAGACCUUUAUUGGAUUAGGUGUCUAAGUCCAUAACUAUAAUUGGUAUUUACUUGACCCGAUAGUAGCAUGCUCCAUUUGGGUUACAUUCAUUAAAGCAAUUUGAUAGGAUGGAUAUUUAAGAAAUAGGUUAUUUGUGGUUUAUUAAUAUAUUAUAAGUAUAAUAUGUUAAUUGAGAAAUCAUAUUAUUUAAUUAGUAUUGAUCAAGAAUUAAUUUGGAAUUAAUUUAGUGAUCAAAAGAGACUAAUUAAAUUAAUGGGGACUAAUUAUGUAAAUCAGUCAUACAUAUGGACUGGGCUAAUGAUCCAUGAUUGAUUUGUUGAUGGGCUAAGCUUAUGAAUUAAUCCAUGAAUUGGUAGCCAAAUCAGUUGACUCAUAAACCUAAGUGCGUGAAUUAGGGUUACAUGUGACUCUUAGAAUUCUACACUAUAAAUAUGUGCCCUAGUGUCCAAAAUCGUGACCCCAUGCAUGAGAAGAAGGCAUAACCAAUUUUGAGUCUCCUUAACCUAUUCUAUAUUCAUCCAAUUGCUCUUGGUGUUUUGUGAACCAUUUGAUACAUCACACUUGAGGUGCUAAGCUUUCUUAAGGCCAAGUUCUACAAGCUACUAUACAAGGUAAUAUUCUAACUAGUUUUUAUGAUUCAAAUAUCACCUUGCAUGCUAGUUUAGGCUUCAUGCUUUGGAAAAAUGUUUAUUGCAUGUCUAAUUAUAGAAAAAAUAGAUCCAAAGCAUUAGGGUUGUAUGUGAACCACAAGAAUACUAGAGUACAUAAAAUCCAUCAGUGGUAUCAGAGCCAUGAGUGUUUUCUAUUAUAUUGAUGCAAUUGUGUGAUUUUCAAAAGAUGAAAAAUUACAAUUCUGGAUUCUGCCAAGGCCUACUCGACGAGUCCAUCAUUGAACUCAAUGAGUAGUUGCCUUGUGAAGAUGAACUCGUCAAGUUCAUAAGUGCACUCGACGAGUUGGAUCGUCAGUGAGCAGAAUUUUCGAGUUUUUGGCCUGUUUUGGAUUAGGAUCAUUACCACAACCUGUUUUGGUUCAUAAAAUUUGAUUUUUAUAAUACGGUAAUGAUUAUCCCCAUCCAAUAACAUGAUGAUUGUCAAAUUUUAAGAUAAUUACUUGAUUUUAUGAAAAAAUAAUUAUUUGUAAAAUUUGAAGCUAUAUUGCUAAAUGAUUAGUAUUAGGUCAAAUUAUUAGAUGUUAAAUUGUAUGAUUAAUUGUAUUAGUUUAAUUUGAUCUAAAUGGUUCAUGAAGAGUUUCAUAACUUGUCCUCAAGUUAUGAAAUGUGAAGAGUCUCAUCCAUGAAGCAUUAACACUUUAAGUUAUAGAAUUCCAAAAGUUUUGAAGAGUUACAUAACUUGUCCUCAAGUUAUGGAACUUGGAUAGUCACAUUUAAAUAACAUAAAUUCAAUAACACAAGAGGUUUUGAAAAGUUUCAAAACUUGCCCUCAAGUUUGGAAUUUAGGAAGUCUCGUUUAUGAAACUUUAAUUCCAAUCCCUAGAAUUUUAAAAGUUUAAAAUUCAACCUUAUAUUAUUAUAGUAUUAAAGUUAAUACUUAUAUAUAUAUAUAUGACAAGUCAGUCUUACCGUUAGUAGNNNNNNNNNNNNNNNNNNNNNNNNNNNNNNNNNNNNAUAUAUAUAUAUAUAUAAGACAAGUCAGUCUUACCGUUAGUAGGCCUCCUUCACGAAGUCGUUAGUGGAGCAUAUGGGACAUGAUUCAUAAUGUCUUACAUAAAAGCAUGAUAGUUUAUCAUCCCUUUGCCAUAAUAUUUCUAUUUGUCACAUUCUUAAAAUUCGAACUAUGAAGAGGGAUGCCAUAAUCAUAUUCGAAAUUCGCGGACGCAAUUAAUAUAUCCUUGACUAAAUUUGAUUAAAAUUUCUCGAUCUAAGCUUUUCGAUUUCGAAACAAAGUAUAACAUUCUAUCCCUUAAUUAUAGCAAAACAACUUUUCAACGUCUGCAACUUUCAAAGUGAAACCUUUUGUUUUCUAUAAUUAAUAUUGUUAACUUGCAACACUUAAAAUAAUAAUCAUGCUCCCACUAACAUGAUGAUUAUAUCCAUUCCAGCAUAACAUCUAUGCUCCCACUAGCUUUGACGCAUAUUUAAAUAUCAGCUAAAUUUGUUAGAAAACAAUACUUAUUGACUUCCAAGUUCAUUUUCCUAAUACGAUAUGCUUUGAUAAGCCUUUUUCUAAGCAUCUCAAAAUUAUACACCUUUCCUUAGAUAACUCAUAUGUGUGUCUAAACUAAUUCAGAACUUAUAUUACUAAGUCCCAAAUGUUCAGACUAAUCGCCAAAUCUCGCAAUUCAAACUAUGAAGAGGGAUGUCGUAAUCAUAAUCGAAUUUGAGAAUGCAUUCUACACAAUUUCUAUCUUUUUAAAAUCUCUCUUAGUGAAAGUGUUUCCUCACAAUCAUUUUCAUGAAGGAGAGAAACCUUAUGACACUUAGAUUUUACAGUGUAUGUGUUCCUAUCCACGUGAAUUGGCCAUAACCAUAAUAAUAAGAUAAUGUUUGUGCCAAAUCCAAACUCUUAUGGACCGAACUCGUUCAUUCUUGAUUUCUUCCAUCAAGGGUCCCACCAUUGCUUCCAAGUUAUUUAGCAGCUCACCUAUACAUAGUCAAUGUACUUUCAUUGAACAAGGUGCUUGCCUUAUGCAGUCUAUUGAGAACUCGUAGAACUCAUAUGCAUAACCAACUCAACUGGAUUUACAUAGAAACAUGAAUACAUCAACACGAUAGGUGACAAACUUCAAGUCAUGUGCUAGUGUUUAAUAAUAGGUUUACUCUUGAUUAGUUCUUGAAGCUUUUCAAGAUCAUUUAGACUCCCACUGACCUUUUCACAUAUAAGAUUCUCUUGUCAAGAAAACAUUUAUUGACAAACAAAUAUUCAAGAGUUAAUGUGGAUUCUUAUCAAGACAAACACUACACACAAUUGGUAUUAGUUGGUUUUGUCUUAUCCAAGACAUCACAAUUUACCAAUUUCGAACAUGCAAGAGUAGGAAAAACAAUUUUCUACUUCACAUUUGAUGAGUGUGUUAGAACUUCUUAAGAUGUGUCACUCAAUUCACAAUCUUGGAGUAUGACUCUAAGACUUGAUUUUGGAAGAAGUAUGACUCAUCCUUUUGAUUUAACCGUUUCAACAAUUUCCGAUUCCUCUUCUUAGCCAUACUAGUGCACUAAGAUGUCCUUAGGGGAUUAAUUGUGAUAUGGUUUCAUAAUCAGCAAGAUGAUCAUAAAACACGAUACAAAAGUACUCUCCCUUCUUCUUAGAUUGGAUAAAAUUUUAUCUUUCUGCCUAAUAGAUUCUUCUUAUUCCUUCUGCCAUACAUUGAAACUUUUCAAUGAUUCAGAAUCACACUUAAUCUUGUAAGCAUAACCACAUUUACUAGACUUUUAGUAAAUCAUGACGAAUAAUUUUAUCGUUCUUUGUGGUGGACUUGACUAGUGCACAACAUUUAGUACCAGUUCUCCUAGUCCUUCACUUGACUCUUUCUCAAGGAAUUAGUCUUAAUUUUCCAAAUAUGAAGGUUCUCAUUCAUCACAUCCAUUUCAACAUUGCUAAAACUAGAAAUACACAAACAUCAAUUUUCCAUUCAUGUCAUUGCAAGGAAAUAUAUAAAUAAGACAAAACCAAAAUUUAUUUUAUUUAUAAAAGGUGCGGAAAAACUUGUCCUUACAAUGCAAAUCAAAUGAAAACUACGUUAUUACAUAUUCCUAACCAAUCUAUCAUAACUCUAAAAGUAGCAGCUCCAAAAAUCUGAUCAUCGAAUCAUGUGAUCGAAAUCCAUUUCUUCGCGAUCAGACUCAACUCACUUCUUUCUUUAAGCUUCCUCUCUUUUCUUCGAUCCUACAAAACACCAAAUGUAAUCUUAUCACAUCAUGUAUUUAUAAUAUCGAAAUACGAACUUAAUAGAGUUAGAUAGUUGAUUUUACCUGAAGAAGAGUCAUACAUCUUGACUCUCCUAUCUCUUAGAUCUCUCAGGUAGUCAGGGCAGCUUCGGAACCAAUGCCCCCUCUUUUGGUAGUAGAAACAUACGGAUUCUUCUGGAAUGGUACACAUGACUAUCUCAGACUCAGCCUUUCUCUUGCGUGGACAAAAUUUUUCUAGACUUCCAAUGUUGCCAUUGCCCAUAAAAGGAUGGAUAUUCAUUUACCAUAAAAAUUUGCUUGACCAAUGCGCCAAAUCAUUUCUGAUUGUGCAAUAAGCAAAUAAGUCAAAUCAAUGAGGGUCACAUCGUGUUCCAUCAUAUAGUACUCUCUAAUGAACUUACCGUAUGAUUCAGGAAGUGGGUGAAGAACCAAGUCAACACCCAACUUCUUCGAGACAUCGACGCCCAACAUUCCCAAUCGAUCAAUAUGCAACUUCAUAUCCAAGACAUGAGUGCAUACUGACUUUCCAUCUUCAUGUCUUUUCGCCAAUAGGGCUUGAGUGACCUUGAACUCUUCAAUUCUUCGAACACGUGGGUUAGGGAGAAUUAUUGGAGGAGGUGUAGGAAGUGAAGCAUGAUUUCCAUUUCUACAAUCCAAUUGUGGAACAUCAUCUUUAAGUGGAAAACUUUUUCCAAUGGAUUUAGGAAGACCAUAGUUGUCAGACUUUGACAUCUACAGACCGGGAGAAAUUCAAGUUAGUUGAUUGGAAUCCUUGAUAUAACACCCAAAUGGAAUAUCAAGGCUAGGACCCAACACAAUAUUCUACAAUAUGGAAGAGGGAUGUCGUAAUCCAAAUUGCAGAACAUUUGAAGGUAGGUAAAUGACGAUUUACAAAUUUCCACCAUGAAAAACGAAAAUUGAAAAUUAAGUUUUAAAUGAAUUGAAACUCCUAGAUAUUUUGAGAUUCAUUGAACUUUUCAAUGGCAUGUUUAAAUCUCGAGUGUGCCCUUCGUUUGUGACUGGGAUGUCGUGGAUCACAAACAAGUUGUAGAUAACCAUGCAAAUAUACAUGGUGCCUCCUAAUGUUAUAGUCAGCUAAUCGACGUGCCGGUUAAUCACACACGCUUCAUCGAUCUAUGACAAACAUCAAGUCACCCUUUUCCACCUUUUCUUAGAGCCCAAUUAGUGUGGCGGUUAACCACACACGCUCCACUAAUGUCUUAGCAAGGGUACAAAGUGUAAUUUUAAUGGAAUAGCACCAACUCCACAUUUUUCAUAAAGUAGCUAAGAUUUGGGAAUUUAUAAAACAUUUAGUUACUUCGUAUUUCAUUAUACUUAUAAUGGAAGGUUGUGUCCUAUCCUACCCGUUCGGCUAACGACCAUCCAUUAGUCAAGAGUGCGGUGGGUAAGAGUGGAUACCCAAUGGCGGUCAUUUUACAGGCCGCUUCCUUAAACACCCCUUAUAUGCCAACUUAGUGAAUGAGGCCUACUAACGGUAAGAAUGACAUUUUACUUAUACAUAUAUAAUUUUAUAUAGUAUAAGGGUGUAUUUUACACUUUUAAAAUACUAGAUGGUCUAAUUUAAUAAAUUAUACUUUAAUUUAAUUAAACAUAAACCAUAUCAUUAUGGAUUUAUUAACUUUCUUUUAAUUGUACACUUAAUUAAUUUAAUAAAACUUAAGUGUGUAAUUUGAACUUUUUCAAAAACUAGGGUCUUAGAAAUUAAUAUUUCAAAAUUAAACUUUUAAUCAAAAUUUUAAAUUCCAAAACUUGAGGGCAAGUUUUGAAACUUUUCAAAACUAUCUAAAUCAAUUUACAAAUAAUUAAAUUAAUCAAAUAAUCCGUAAUUAUCUAAAUUUGACCUAAUUCAAUUUCUUACAAGAUAAUUCAAAGCAAAAUAACAAAUAAUUAAUAUUUAUCUUAUAAAACAAGUAAUUAUCUUAAUCUUGACAAUUAUCUUCUAUUUUGGUAAGGACAAUCACCAAAUAUUGAUAAAAUUCAGAUUUUAUUAAUGAAAAACGUUUUUGGUAAUUAUCAUUCAACAAAACAGCAAGAAAUCCCGAUUUUCCCUCUGUCUGACUCCCCGACUCGCUGAGUUGGGCUAACUCGCCGAGUCAGGUCAGGCAGACGGCAUAAAAAUAAUUUUCAACAAGAUGAACAUACAAGGCAUAAAUACAAUAGAACCCAAUCAAGUCUCUGAUACCACUGAUGGGUUUUAUACAAAAGAACAUCUUAUGUCCACAUGCAAACCCUAAAGCUUGGAUCUUGGUUUCUCUAUUGUACAUGCAAUUCAUCCAAGACUUAAGAACCCUAGAUCUAGCAUACAUAUUUCGAAAUAAUCAUAAAAGAACAAAUCUAGAUGAUUACAUUUAUAAGAAUGGCUUGAAUAUUCUUGUCUUGGAGCUUAGAGUCACAAAUGUCACUCCUCUAAUGGCUUGUAAACACCACAAGCAAGAGAAUGAUUUAUGAGAGGGAGGAGGAGCACCAAAAACGACUAAGAACCCUUAGGAAUUACUUGCACACGUUUUUGGGGCCUUAGGGGUUCCUUAUAUAGUGAGGCUAUUAGGGUUUUGAACUAGGAAACCCUAAUCUGACUGUUUAGGCCCUAAGCAGCCCAUUGACUCCCUCCUUAGAGGCCUUGGACGAAUUCUAAUGGGUUUCCCUGUAGAUUUCGUCCACACCAACUUCUAUGGAGUCCAUUAGCCCAAUAUUCAACUAUCACACAAUUGACAGUUCUAGUCUCCUUUAUUUAAUUAAUGUCUUAGCCACAAAAUUAAUUCUUAAUUAAAUCAUGUCUAAUAUUAAUUAAACAAUAUGAUUUCUCCUUUAAUAUAAUAUUCAUAUAAUAUAUUAAUAAACAAUAAUAACCUCUCUCUCUCCAUAAAUCAUCUAAUCUAGUUGCUUCGGUGAAGGCAACGCAAAAGGACCAUACACAACCGGGUCAAACACUUACCAAUUAUAGUUACGGACUUAAACACUAAUCCAACACAAAAUACUUUUAACCUUAACAAUAUAUUUUUAAAAAAUUUUCUUUUACAAACUCAAUAAAAUAGUAUUGCGCAAAUUCUAUCAUUUAUUUUUUUGAAUUUGAUUUAAAAAGAUUCUCAUUAUAUUUUUGAAAAACAACAUUUCUUAGAAUUAAAAAAUAAACACCUCAAAAAUUUAUUUUUAAAAAACUCUUUUUAGAAAGUCAGUAGUAUAAUGAGUAGAAGUAUUCCUUAGAUUAUCAUGAUGUUUGUAGAAUUUUUUUUCAGAGUUUUUUUUUAUAAAAAUAAAAAAUUAAAAGAAUAAUUUUUUUCUUCAAUUUUUCUUGAUUAUGGUAAUUUUUUAGAUAAUUAAAAUUUAAAAACUUUUUUUUUUCAUAAUUCUUUUUCAAAGAAUUAAAAAGUUACAUACAAAAAGCAAAGUGGUUGGAAAAAUAAUGUUCAAUCAUUGGAAGCACACGAAAUCGCUAAGGAACCGGACAUCCUCGGUAAGGUCGGCUUUCGAAGUGUAGCUUUACAACCAUAGGGCUUAGAUAGGCCCUGAAUUCGAGGGAAGUCUUGUACACGCAUUUCCGUUUAUUUUCUGUAGCUUAUUUAACCUUCUAAAAAAUUAUCUUUUUUUUUUCCAAAAAACACCAAAAUCUCGCAUAUAAUUACAGAAAGCGUCAUAUUAUCUCGCAACAUUUAUACGAUAAAUAAAAUUAAAUCUUAACCUUUUAUUUUUUCAAUCCUACGUCAAAUAUUUGUCAUCAUAGUCCUCACUAGUUUUUGAGUCCCCACCGAUCCUUGUUAUAUAUAUNNNNNNNNNNNNNNNNNNNNNNNNNNNNNNNNNNNNNNNNNNNNNNNNNNNNNNNNNNNNNNNNNNNNNUAUAGACACACACACACACAAAUGGGAUAUUUAUGUGUGUUCAGCACAUAACGUGUAACAUCCGGAUUUCCAGGUAUCAUAAUUGAAGUAUUUUUUUGAGUUAAGAAGAGCGACUCGACGAGUUGCCGCCUAAACUCAUCGAGUAUGAUCGCGGCUGAUGACUCAGAUUAAUGAAUGGACUCGACGAGUCGGUGAGAUGACUCGAUGAGUCCGCACUGUUGGCACAAACCCUAAAUCUGAUGGGUUUUGAGCAUUCUAACACUUCCUAAGUGUACAUGCAACCCUAAUAACCUUGAAUCUAUGUUUUCUCUAUAUACAUGCAAAUUUCUUUUUCAAGGUUAUAUCCUAACUAGCAUGGCAUGGGGAUUACAUAAAAAAUAAAACUAGUAGAAAUACAUACCUUGUUGUUGCUUGGAUUCCUUCAAGACUUUGUGAGCCUAGCACCCCAAAUGUUGUGCCUCAAAUGCUUCACACAACACUACAAACUUGGAAUAACUUGAGAGAAUGUCACUUAGCCUCAAAAAUCGGUUGUGCCCUCUUAUGAAUACCCUAGUGCCGAUUUUGCAUGCUAUAGGGUUUCUUUUAUAGUGUGUCAUAAUUAGGAGUUACAAAUGUAAACCCUAAUUGUCAUGACUCUUCAUUUCUCAUGACCCAUGGGUUUGUAACUCCCAUGGACUAUCCAUGGAGCUCCAUAUGGUUAUAACCAAACCCAUAAACCAUGGAUCAUUAAUCCACCAUAAAAGAAUUGAUGAUUUUCAUAAUCAACCCUAUAUAUUUAAUUAGUCUCACUUUGAUCACCAAAUUAAUACUAGAUUAAUACUUGAUCAAUACUAACUAAAUAAUAUUAUUAUUAAUAUAUUUUAACUUAUAAUAUAUUAAUAAUCACAAGUGUACUUUCUCUCAUUUUCUCUAUCCAAGUAUUGCAAUGUCAUGCAACCCAAAUGGACCAUGCCGGGUCGGGUCAAGUACAUACCAAAUAAUGUUAUGGACUUAGACACUAUAUCCAACAAAAUCUUUGGGCCUUAGCCCUCUUUAAAGGCAUUUAUGGCCUUCAUUAGCGGCUACCUUCCUAGAAGAGAGAACCCUAGCCAGCUUGAGUGUGUUGAGUGAGAGGAAGAGCUAUCUUGAGCUUUUUGGUGUGAUUUUGCAAGGAAGGAGGAGAGUUCCAGCAAGAGGGAUCAAGGAGGGUUGUUGUUCUGAGUCAUUCAAGCAAGGAGCUUCAUUCAGAGGUACAAAAUCGACCCCCUUUUCUUCCUUAUUGUGUAGAUUCCAUUUUGGGGUUAGGACUUGAAUCACUUCAUCUUUGCGGUUUUGAAUGCCUCAAACCCCUCUUGCUAGUUUGUGUUAUAGAUAUGGACCCUUCUAGGUCCAGAGAGCCGAGAAUAUGAAGCUUUAGUAGAGUAAACCUUUGGGAUUGAAGCUAAGAGGCAUUUAUGGGGUUUUUAUGGUAUAUUAUGCAAAAUACACCAUGCAUGAACGCCAAGUUCAAACCUUUACGUUACUUUUGGGUGUUAAAAGUUCAAAUUUAUAAGCUAGAGAAACAGAUCUGACCUCAGAAGGUUGUUUGAGCAUUUCCACGGAGGAAACUCGCCGAGUCCAUGGAAGGACUCGACAAGUCGGAUUGGGUUGCUCCGCGUUUCGUGAUCAGUGGUAACCCGUCGAGUGAAAGGUCAACUCGACAAGUCGAGUGAGGCCUUAGGAGGAUUUAGAGGACACACAUGGACUCGCCGAGUCACCCGAGUGCACUCGACGAGUAUGGUCAAAGUUGGGCCGUUGACUGGAGUUGACUUUCGUUGACUUUUAGGGUUUGGUCAACAUUUGGACAUUUGGACCAAUGGAGGGGUAAAACGGUAUUUUCCCCUUCUGUCAGAUUAUAGGAAGGGAUUAUUCCAGCUUCUUGACGGCUAAUAUUAAUUAGGGAUAAUUAUUAUGUGUUAGGCAGGAGCUAGACCCGAGAGUAGGGGUCACGAUCCCGAUUACAAGAUUUUCAUUCAUUAGUUACGAGGUGAGUCUUCUCACUAUACUUACCUUGUGUGGUAAACCUUAUGUGUGACCAGAGGGUCUUAUGUGCAUGAACUGUGUAAUGAGACAUCCUGCUAUUUACUUGUGUUAUGCUUUAUGAGUAUUAUAUUGUGAAGUUGAGUUGAGGGACCGGAUACACCCUCGAGUGUGUUUGGACUCAAACUGAGGAUUUGAGAAGGAUUUUCAAAAAAGAGAUAAAUUUUUCUAAAAAUGAGCAAGAGUCUAAGAGAGGUCGAGUCAGAGCAGUGUGUACAAUCGGCCAGAGCCGAGCGGUGAUUUCCCAAAAUACCCUCAUUUUGUGUUAUGUGAUAUGAUGUAUGCUAAAGAGUAGGAUAGGUGAAUUCAUAUAUUAAGACUAGGGUGGCCUGAUUUGUGAUGCCUUAGCCUAGGGAUUUCUGCUAUUAGUGUUUAGCUUGAGUAUGAGUACCUAGCAGGAGCGAGCCAAUGAGAGAACUUCUGUGAAAGUAGAUUGUGAGGCAUAGAGUACUUGUAAAUUGGGAUCCAAGGAGGAGGACUUGGGGUAAACACUGAUGCGGUGUGGAAAGUCGUAUUGGGCCCAUACUACUAGAAGCACCGGAUUAGUGAGCGGCCCAAGUAAGAAUCUUAGGGAUGCUAAGGAACAAGUAGGGUCGGGUGAUCGAGUGUGAGUAUGCUCGAGCGAGCCUCUGAUAAUAUUGUGUUGUGUUUCAGAGACAUCAUGGUGGGGACACGCCACAACCCUGGGAGAAGUGGGAGUAGCGAUGAGGAGAUACGGAGGAUGAUCCACGAGGAGGUGGUUGCAGCUAUCCGAACAGAGAUUCCGAAGAUGUUUGGGUCUAUCAAGACCACCUUGAUUUAGGUAUUUGACGAGCGUUAUGCUGCUAUCACUGAGGUUGUUGGUGUCACGGCCACUAUAGUCGUCGCCACUGCUAGGCCACAGGAAGGUGACUCGUUGUUCUGAGAGUUCAGCAACACGAAGCCACCAGAGUUUGAUGGGACACAGGAUCCGAUAGCAGCUAUAAGUAUGUUCCCCCAGUGGAGAGGGAAUGUUUAGCACAUGAGUUUCUGUCUCUCAGGGAGAAGACAGAGUUAGUGACUGAGAUCUUGAGGAUGUUCUAUGAGAGGGCGAUGUUUUGCCCUGAACACGUGUCCACUAAGCAGACACAUGUGAACCGAUAUCUGAGCAUUCUGGGGAGAGAUAUACGUGAGUUCAUGGCGAACUCGUCAUACCGCACAUUGGCUGAGCUUCAGGCCAAUUCCAGGAGGAGGGAGAUUGAGCUUGAGUUACAAACUAGGGAGGAUGAGGAUGACUCUCGGGGGAGGGACCGGAGGUCGGUGCAGUCACAGCCGGCGACGAAGCGAGCUAAGCCCACUGAUUCCAGAGUUGGGAGCUAGAAGGGCCGCACUUGUGGCAAGUGCGGCAAGAGCCACGAGGGAUCUUGCCGAGCGAGGAUCUGCUACAAAUGCGGCAAGGAGGGGCACAUGGCGAAGGAUUACCCCAAGGGAUUCUCGAUUUGCUUUCAUUGCAACCAGACCAGCCACCGGAUGGCCGAGUGCCCCCGGCUAGUGCAGGGACCAACGCAAGGAUCUGUACCUACCUAUGUGCGUGCUUCUAAGAGCCGGUCAGUGAAGGCCGAGACGCCGAGGGCUCACGGGAGAGCCUUUCACUUGACAGCGGAGGAGGUCCGCGCAGCGCCCGGUGUCGUGGCUGGUAUGUAUUCUUUUAUUUACUUAUGCUGAGUUUGAGAUAUUAUGCUUAUAUUGUCAUGUGUUUAUGUACUUUCCUUGUAAAUUGUGUACCUGCUUUGGUGUUAUUUGACUCAGGUGCGAGUCAAUCUUUCGUGUCAUUAGCCUUUAGUCAUCACACCAGUAUCUAAUGAGAGGCGUUGAGUCGACCUCUCCGAGUUUCUAUAGCUGACGAACGAGUGGUUUUUGCUGCUGAGGAGAUUCGAGGACGUAUACUCAAGAUUUUUGGUGUUGAGUUCCCGACAGAUUUAGUACCUAUUGCGAUGGGGGAUGUAUGACUCAUCGUGGGCAUGGACUAGUUGAGCCAAUUCGGAGCUAUUAUUGACUGCGAGCGUCAGAUGGUGACCAUACGAGACCCUAGUGGGGGAGUACUUACAGUAUAUGGCAAGGGUACCCGAUCUGGGUCAGCAUUUUGCUCGGCUGGCAGAGCGAGGCAGAGCCUACAGCAGGUAUGUAAAGAGUUUGUAGCCUAUGUGAUGGAUACACGAUCUUCCGUAGAGAGGCCGAGCUCGGUUAGUGAGGUUCCUAUAGUGCGAGAGUUUCCAGACAUUUUCCCCGAGGAGCUACCGGGUGUGCCACCUGAGAGGCAGGUGGAGUUUCCCAUCGAUUUGGCUCCAAGUGCGGUGCCUAUUGCCAAAGCAUCUUAUCGCCGUGCGCCACCAGAGAUGCAGAAGUUAUCCUCGUAGCUUCAGGAGCUGUUGGGGAAGGGAUUCAUUCGACCGAGUAGCUCGCCGUGGGGAACGCCGAUCCUUUUUGUCAAGAAAAAGGAUGGUUCGCACCAGAUGUGCAUUGAUUAUCGGGAGUUGAACAAAUUGACGGUCAAGAACUAUUACCCACUUCCGAGGAUCGAUGAUUUGUUCGAUUAGUUGCAGGGAGCUUCUUGGUUCUCCAAGAUAGACUUGAGAUCGGGAUAUCACCAGAUGAGGGUGCGGGAUGAGGAUAUCCAGAAGAGAAAGUUUAUGACUUGUUAUGGGCAUUACGAGUUCGUGGUGAUGCCUUUCGGGCUCUCCAAUGCACCAGCAGUGUUCAUGGAUCUCAUGAACCGAGUAUGCAGGCCGAUGUUGGAUCGAUCGGUGAUCGUGCUCAUCGACGACAUUCUGGUGUAUUCGAGGUCCAGGGAGAAACAUGAGGAGCAUUUGAGGGAGAUUCUUGGGGUAUUGAGAUCGGAGAGGCUUUAUGCCAAAUUCUCCAAGUGUGAUUUCUGCUUACGAGAGGUCCAGGUUUUGGGACAUCUCGUUAAUCAGAAUGGGAUAUUGGUUGAUCCGGCCAAGAUUGAGGUUGUUAUGAGUUGGGAGGUGCCGAGAUCCCCCAAUGAGAUAAGGAGUUUUCUGGGGUUGGCCGGCUAGUAUCGGAGAUUUAUCAGGGAUUUCUCCAAGAUUUCUAUUCCCGUCACCAGAUUGACCUGGAAGCGCGUUGCUUUUUCUUGGGGUCCCGAGCAGCAGACCUCAUUUGAGACUCUUCGCUAGAGAUUGUGCGAAGACCUGGUGUUAACCCUUCCGGAGGGAAUGGAGGAUUUUGUUGUGUACUGUGACGCGUCCAUAUCAGGGUUGGGUGCGGUACUUAUAUAGAGAGGGCACGUGAUAGCAUACGCGUCGAGGCAGCUGAAGCCUCAUGAGACGAGGUAUCCCACCCAUAAUUUGGAGUUGGGGGUAGUAGUGUUUGCCCUCAAGAUAUGGCGCCAUUAUUUGUAUGGGGUUCGAUGUACCAUAUACACGGACUACAAGAGUUUGAAGUAUCUGAUGGAUCAGCCCAACCUGAACAUGUGUCAGAGGAGAUGGUUGGAUGUGGUAAAGGACUAUGACUGUGAGAUCCUGUACCACCCGGGCAAGGCUAAUGUGGUAGCCGAUGCUCUAAACCGCAGGGCGGAGAGUGCCCCGAUUCAAGAUAUAUGCAUGAGGAUGACGGUGAUGAAUCUAGUAUUGGAUACCAUCCGAGAAGCCUAGGCAGAGGUUUUGAGGCCGGAGAACUGCAAGAGAGAGCGAGUGAUUGGGCAGAUGUCUGAGUUUGUUACUGAUAGUCGAGGGCUUAUCACCUUUCAAGGUCGGGUUUGGGUGCCGUUUAUGGGCAGGGCACGUAGUAUAUUGAUGGAGGAGGCACACAUAUCGAGAUUCUCGAUCCAUCCCGGGGCCACUAAGAUGUAUUUGGAUCUAAAGACAGAUUACUGGUGGCUUUGUAUGAAGAGGGAUGUUGCGUCGGUUGUAGAAAGGUACUUGACCUGUUGUCGGGUCAAGGCUGAGCACCAGUGUCCGCACGGCAAGUUGCAGCCGUUAGAGGUUCCCUAGUGGAAGUGGAAACAGAUUUCUAUGGAUUUCAUCACCAAAUUACCGAGGACCGUGAGGAGUGUUGAUGCAAUUUGGGUGAUUGUGGAUCGGUUGACGAAGAGCGCUCACUUCCUUGCUAUUAGUGAGAGCUCUUCUACAGAGAGACUGGCAGAGGUAUAUGCCAGAGAGGUGGUGUCGUGGCAUGGAGAGCCGAUCUCGAUUGUGUUAGACCGAGAUGUACGUUUCACUUCCAGGUUCUAGAAGAAGUUCCAUGAGGAGUUGGGUACGAGAUUACACUUCAGCACCGCCUACCACCCCCAGACAGACGGACAGAGUGAGAGGACGAUUCAGACACUCGAGGACAUGGUUUGAGAAUGUUUUAUGGACUUCGGCGGAAGUUGGUGUUGGAUAAGGUGUCUAAGUCCAUAACUAUUUCGGGCUUGUACUUGACCCGACCCGGCAUGGUCCAUUUGGGUUGCAUGGCACCAUGCAAUUGGAUAGACUAAAUGAGAGAAAUAACACUUGGAGAUUAUUAAUAUAUUAUAAGUUCUAAUAUAUUAAUAAUAUUAUUUGAUUAGUUGAUCAAAGAAUUAAUUUGGAAUUAAUUAAGUGAUCAAAGGAUAACUAAUUAAAUAUAUGGGUUGAUUAUGUAAAUCAUCCAUAUCUUGUAUAGUGGGCUAAGAGGCUCCAUGGAUUAUCAAGUUGGGUUCUACCCAUAGGAUGCUCCAUGGAUGCUCCAUGGGAGUUACAAACCCAUGGGUCAUGGAAAUGAAGAGUCAUGACACAUUAGGGUUUACAUGGUGUAACCCUAGAUGUGCCAACACUAUAUAAGAGUCCCAUUCUCCACAAAAUUGGCUACACAAGUUGAACACUAAGAAACUAGAGGGCUUGGCCGAUUUUGAGAAGUGUGUGUUAUCUCAAGAGUCUUUCCAAGAGCAUUUGGUGUUGUGUGAAGCAUUUGAGGCAUCACACUUGGGGUGCUAGGCUCACAAGGUUUCAAGGAACACAAGCAACAACAAGGUAAGUUAUUCUAUCUAUGAUUCAAGUUAAAAUUGUUCCCCAUGUAUGCUAGAUAGGAAUAUAACCUUGGAAUUCAACUUUGCAUGAUAAUUAGACAAACAUAGAUCCAAGGUUAUUAGGGUUGCAUGUACACUUAGGAAGUGUUAGAAUGCUCAAAACCCAUCAGUGGUAUCAGAGCCUAGGCUUGUUUGUUUGUUAUUUGUGCUUAAAAGUUGAAGAAAGUCG
rnacentral:lncRNA from 1 species